rnacentral:lncRNA from 1 species
UCAUACAAGAUUCAAUGUUCAUCAAUGCAUUCAAAGUCAAUGUCAUUCAUUCAAGUCAAAACCAUUCAAAUUCAUUCCAAAUAAUCAUUUACAUUGCAAAAGAAUGUUCAUUACAUCAAAAAAUACAAAAAAUGGAAUUGCUGACCAAAUGUUGACUUUGGUCAACAGUUGACUUUUUGGUCAACUUUGACCAAAGUCAACCCAAUUCCCGAACUCCCCAUUACCAAAAUCCCUAAACCUCUAAUGUUCUUGUUCUUCAUGAUCUUCAUGGCAUUUGUCCAUCACCUACAAGAAGAAACCAAACACAUGUUCAUUAUGCCAUUUUUCAUACAUGAGCCAAGUCCAAACCAAAAUCAUAUAUGGCCAUUAAUGUAAUUUUCAAGCAAUUCCAAGCAUACUAUUCAGCUAUGUAAAGAAAGGGAUGCUACUCAAUCUUACUAUAAGCCUCUUGUAUCAUGUAUAAGUGGGACAUCUAGCAAGCGCUGGAUUGCAAUACAGAACAGAUCCAUUGAUUCUGAAUUGAGUUCAGCUGAGCCUGAAAUUCAUGGAGUUCAGCCUGAAGACUUUUACGAAGACGUGCAUUUCUGGUGAUCAGUUGUUGGUAAUUAUUGGUCCCUGCUUACACCACUAAUUUUCUCUGACCAUCCAAAGAGACCUGGAGAUUAAGAUCCACUGCCUCCAUAUAAUAUGAUUCGGAAUAUUAUGGACAUGUAUUCUAAUUAUGGAGGUUUGAAUGCUGCCCUGCUGGAGGAGAAAAGGUCAGUGUGGGUCAUGAAUGUUGCUCCUGCCAGGGCUACUAAUGCACUUCCUCUCAUACUAGAUAGAGGUUUUACAGGUGUUAUGCAUGACUGGUGUGAACCUUUCCCCACCUACCCGCAGACAUAUGAUAUGCUUCAUGCAAAUAGGUUUUUAUCAUAGUUCAUUUCAGAACAAUGCAAUCAUUAAACAGAAGCAACAACAAUCAAAACCAAUAGAAACCUUGCAUAAAAUCAACAAAAAAAAAUAUUAUAAUAGGAGAAGCAAAUUAUGGAAGAGGGGAAAGAAAAGAUUAACAGAACUCAAAGAAAAUAUCCAAAAAGAAAACCAAUAGAAUUAGAACUUUUGAAACCACUUGAAACCUCUUGAAUCAUAACAACCAACUAACUUUCUAACCUCUCAAAACUAACCUAUAACAGAAGGAUAACUUCACAUAACACAAGGCCAUAACCGAAUCCUAACCACCCUUUCUAAUUGUCAUAACUAACCUCCAAACUGAGCUUAAAAAAACUCACAUUACCCUUCAAUCAACUCCAUAACAAAACCUCCAAACCAAAUUCCUCCAACCGAAUAAUCAACACCCAACAACUUCGAUUAUCCUCCAACCUAAGUGUCUCACCCUAAAAACUAACAUCAACAAAAAGCUCAGCAGAAAUUCAUAUACAUACUGAACUUAACCAAAUAACUCACUAAAUAAUCUCAACCGAAUUUCCAACUGACAUUAGCCACUUCUCAACUUCUAACCGAAUGAACAACCAAUUUCAUAACAGCUGACUGAUUUGAAAUCAAUAGUUAACAAAGUGCAUCAAACUAAUACAAGCAUAGCAUAAUAGAUAACUAACAACAUUUAUUGUAACCAUAUAACUAACUUCAGAUGAGAACCAACUCGGUAACUAACAUGCCAACUGUCAUAACCGGCAACUGCUAACAACCACUUCCAACUGAAUCACAACCUUAAAAACUCCAAUUCGUAACAGAUUCGAACCGACUGCGAAAACCAACUGCACCUUGCUACAAACCUUCAAUCUCCCUAACCAACUUCCCACAACAACCAACUGAAUUCCAAAUUGCCACAACAAACUCUAACAGAAUUCAUAACCUCUCCAACUCUCUCUAACUCCAACACAACAUAACAGAACGAAACCGACAUAAACACCUCCCUCACACCUUCAAACAUAAUAAGAACCCGCUCAACCAAUACCUAACAGAACCUGCAUAAACGCCUCCUCCAACCAUCCACCAACCACAACAGAAUUUUCCCAAAAAAAGGCUUCUAACAGAGCAGAACUGAAGACAAAAACGAAAACCUGCAACUCAACAUUUAUUCACCUUCACUCUACAAUCCAAUUUCACCCUCAAUAACCAAGGAUCCUCUAACAUGCAAUCACCUUCAAUCAAACACUUCAAAACCACCCUUGAACCUGCUAACAAAACUUCAUCCUUCAAUCCACGAUUUACCAUCUUCAACUCAAUACAAUAACAAUUCGGCGGCACUUCUUCAAUCCAGCAAAGAACUCGUGACAUUCACCCCACCGUAGACACAUACAAAUUGCCACAACCACACAAUCACGACCAAAAAAAGGAAACAGAAAUAGGAGGAAUUGAAGAAGAAGAGAUCAAGAAGGGAAUCGCGAGUAGAGGAACUGCAGAGAUGAAGAAGCUCGGUGAAAUCUUGAUUAUUCGGUGGUGGUCCGUUUCUUGGCACAGGGAGCCUUUUGAAUCUUGGGCCUAGGGCCUAAGCAUUUUUCAGACUAUACCCAGUUCAAUCAUACAUCCCCAUUCGUUUUUUCACACUUGGCCCAUUAAUCCAAUUUGCUUAACAUUAAUCCAUUCUUAAUGAUUUUGAUUUAUUUUAAUCCUAGUUUUUUCUUUGAUUAGUAGUGAUGCUGUUUGUUAAUCUAGAUUGUGAUCAGGAUUUUUUUUAUUAGGAAUUAAUAUGGUUUUGAUAAUUAGGAAUAGUUAGAAUUGAUUAGGUAAUUAGGUUUUAAUCAAUUUCGUUAAUUAGACUUAAUUCUUUUUUUUCCCGAAUCAGUUCCAUUGUUAUUCUUUGCCAUGAUUAGUAUCAAUUGCCAUUAGGGUUUUUAUAUUCUUUGUUUUUAUCAUUUUGUUCAUGAUAGAAUAACAUGCUUAAAAUGUUGAUUUUUGUUCUUUAAGUCAUUUCCAUUCAAUUUUCCAUUGCAUUGUGAUUACCAUGUUAAUAGGUAUAUUAGAUUCACUUGUGAUUUAGCUUGUUAGAUUUCUCACUUGAUUAAUUUUUGGUCCUGAUUCACGCUUAGGUAAAAUUUCACCUUUAGAAUUAAUAUUCAUUUUAAUUGACUUUUAAUUGAUUCAUUUGGUUUGCGAUCAUAUUGUAAAUUGAAAAUCCCAUUUCAAUUUAGGUGAUGAAUGUUUUGUAUGCUUAAUUUCAUUUGCCAUGAUCACAUGAUAGAUCUUUGAUUGUUUUUCAUUGAGUAACCCAUUACCAUUUGAAUUGACUUAAACCAUUGAAUGUGUUUAUAUAUUAUUGCAUCAUUCUCAUUCAUUUGAAUUGAUCUCAUACUAACCUAUUUGUUGCUUUGUGUUUCCACAUGUUACUUGGAGAUUCGAGUACACUUUUAGCUAGCCUUGCUUCUAACCUACCCAAUAACCUUGUAUUGUUUGUAGUACCAAGCCACUUGUAUGCCUUAGGCAUGGUGCAUAUUUUGUAAUUUUGUAUAAUAUUCUUUCCAUUUCCAUUUAUGUUGUAAUUUCUUACAUCCCCUCAUUGUGGGUCAAAUGUCCCCACAUCCCAUGAUCAUGUAAUAGAUUAUGUUUAUUGCUUAUUUUAGUUAAUUCACCAUGCAUUCUAAUAAUGAAGAUAAAAACAAAACGAUAAAUAAAGCAUUUUAAAAGAAACAAAAGGUACUUGAUCCAACGUCAAGUUGUUUUCUGAAUAAAACUCACACCACUAGAAUGUGAAUACUUGAUCCAACGUCAAGUAUUUCCCACCUAUACCAUGAUCCGUUAUAUCAUCUCUUCUCUGUUCUCUUCUCAACCUCAUUCAACCUCUCACCUCCACUCUUCACACACACUUUUUCAUAAUAAACUCAAACACUUGAUCCAACAUCAAGUUCCUUCUUCAAACCAUUUUCAUAACAAACCAGAAUGCAAAAAUAGGGUGUACAUGUUUGUACAUAACAUUCAAGUACUUGGGUUGUCGUCCGUACCUAGCUUGAGAACCCGAUGUAAGGCCCCAAUUUUGACCCUAAGAUCCCUCAUGCUAUCUCAUCAUUUGCAUUCGCUUUGGGAUCACACCUUGGCAUCCUCCUUACCCCUCAUUCAUUGGGUUUGCAUUGGGAGAGAUCACCAAGAAAAUUUGAUUGUAUCAUACUUUAUUUUUCAUCGUUUACUAACCAAAAUACCAAAAGCAUAUCUAUGUAUAACUUUGUUUCUUUUGUAGGUAGUGUGUGCAUCCACCUAUGCCUCAUCAAGCUCAAAAUUAGGGUUUGAGACCCUCAUGACAAGAGAUCAAUCAAGGAAAGGUUCACAAUGUUUCUAAACAUCAUAUAUGGAUCCCCAUGUUAUUCAUUUAUCACUUUGAUCAAGAAUUCAUCAUGAGUUUGAAGCUUGUUUACCUUGGAAGCCCUAAUUCAUCUAGGUAUCUUGUGUAACUUCCUCAGCAAGUUUCUUCAUCAAAUGGUCAAAUAUUUCAAGGGAUACUUCAUUGCACAUAAUAUUAUACAUAUAUGAUCCUCCAUGAGUCCUAAAGAUCAAGAUAACUUCAAGUUUGCAAGUUGGUUCCAAGAGGUUGACUAGAGAAAGUCAACUAGUCAAAACUGGGGUUCCCUAAACCCUAUCUCCUACAAGUUUUGUCAUAUGAAAAUGAUUACAAGAGAAACAUUACUCUUUAUGACAUUAAAAACAACUUUCAUGUUGACAUCAAGAGCUAGUUUUUCUUGGAAAGUCAUUUUUUAUGAUGAAAGAUUAUAGGUCAUUUUGUAUGUGCCCUAGUUAGGAAGUCAACUUCCAAGGACCAUAACUUGCUCAAUUUUUAUAAUAGGAAGGCCAUAUAAGUUUCAUGAUCAAUUUCAAUAUUUAUUAUUCAACCUUUAUUCUUUGAUGAAUGUCAAAUUCAACUUGCAAGGGCAUGUUCCAAGAGGAAACAUUAUAGGUCAUUUUGGGCUAUUACCAUUGAACAAGCAAUUUUCCUCAACUUCUAAAAUGCAUAACUCCCUCAUGCCAAAUCCAAAUGAUGUCAAAUGUGUGACCAAAUUGAAUAGGGGUUAAAUAGCUACAACUUUGAUGAAAAAACCAUUUUCAUUUGAAGCUCAUAGCAAACGUUAUUCAAGGUGGAAGAAGUGGUCAUUUGACUUUGUACUUAGAAAAUUUUCAACUAUGUUUGAUUUCUCCAACUUCCACCUCAAACUUCAUCACGAUCUAAUAUUCAAACGGAGAAGUGUUCAGCAUCAAAGUUGUUCCCCUUGAUGUCACCUUUCCAAAAAGUCCAAGAUCACUUCAUUUGGACAAGAAUUAAGGGACUUGUGUAUGGUUCCUUUGUUGGGUUUGUUUUGGCAAGUUUCGGAUUCAAGUGAUCAUUUAUACUUGCAUGCUUACAUGUGAUGAUUUUAGUACUCAUUAUGCAUGAAUUAGAGGGGGAUUGCAUCAUGGUUUGGGCCCAAAUCAAUUCCCAUGCAUCCAUGCACCAAUGUUAUUAUUUUUGGUCAAAUUUGAAAGAGGUGCAAAACUGAAUUCCAUAGCCUAUAUAUACCAAUGCAUUGCCUCAGAACUUCACACACACCUUGCCCAAGCCUUGCCAAGUGAUCCCAAAAUCCUACACCAUAGAAUUCCUUGAAGAUUUCUUUGAAAUCGAGUUUGAAUUUCACCUUCUAUUUUGAGAUUCAAACUCCAAGGAUUCAUUGCCUUUUUCAUCUCAAUUGGUCACUGCAAGCAAGAGGAGGAAGAACCAAGUGAAUUCUGAUCAAGACCAAGCCAAAUCAUAGCAACCUGAAGGUAAAUUUUCAGAAACUUUGAGCUUUCGAUUCUCUCUCAAUUCUUCAACAUUCUCUUUGAUUAUUGGUUUUAUGAAGUCCUACCAAUGUAGGCAACAAAAUUGAGUUGCUUUGAGGUCAAAUCGAAGCAACUCAGAUCAUGCACCUCAAAUUUCAAAUCUGUGUAUCUUUCAAUAUACUUUGAAUUGGAAGAAAUGGAUGCCAGAUUCGAGCUCCUGAGCAUUUUUACUUUAAAAUCAUGUCCUUGCUUUUUAUUUUGGUGGUGGUUGAUGGUGGACUAGUCCGGUGAGGUCCACCGGAGAAGAUGACCGGAGCUAGGGCUUCGGCGAUGCGUUGGCACAGUCCAAGCCAUCUGAUCUGGUUCCCAUGUUCUAAUCUCAACCUUUGAUUUGAAUUACCAUGCGUGUGCACGUGUUAGCUAAGAUGUUUGGUGGAAGCGCGCACUUGGCCAUCAAAUCUGCCACCUCAAUUAAUGAGGGAGAUCUGAUGGCCCUUGUUUUAUCUCAUUUUAUUUUAAUUUCUGAAUUUUCAUUUAAUCCUUUUAUUUUGUUUAAUUCCUAGUAAUUUCAUUUUUAAUCCAAAAAAUAUGGGACUUUCACCAAAAAUCUUUAAAUAUUUUUCUCUUCCAUAUUUUGAAUUAAAAUGAUUUUUUGGAUUACUUUUGGUAUUUUUGAUGAAUUAAAUUUUUGAGUGCAUAUUUUUAAUUGUUUUAAAAUACUUUUGACUUUCCAAAAAUCAUGAAAUUUUUUGUCUAAGGUCCUUUGACCUUGUUUGACCUAGGAUAAAUCCCUUGGCCAUUUAUUUGGUGUUUUGAAGGGAAUUGACGUUUUGUCCAAAUUAAAAUUCAUUUUAAUUCACUUUUAAUUUGAUUUUUUAGUUAAAUGUUUAAAAAUUAUGUUGAGCCAUUUUUAUGGUCUUGUGAUGUUUGACUUUCUAUUUGGGUCUUGGUCAUGGUUGAUUUGACUUUUGUUUGAUCAAAACCAUUGGAUUUAGAGGAUUGAUGAAAUAUACAUUUCAUCUCCCAAAAUGAAUGGAUGAUAUUGAUCAAAUGAACUUCCUCUCAUGAUCAAUUUGUAUUUCUAUUUCCCCUUCCCUCUUCAUCUUCAUCCCUAUUAUUCCCCAUUCCCUCAUUUGACCAAUGAUUUCUCUAAUGUAUAAAUACUAAUUGAUUUAUCAAUGACCUUGUGUCAGAUGAAUCAAUACAAGUCUAACUGAGAUAGGUCCCUCCCAUUUUCUUUUAGUGUGUGGUAUGUUUUAGGAGUUUGGUUCUUUAUACCAAAUCUCUAACAAGAAUUAACACCUAUAUUUUUAUUGUCGGACUCAGAUAGUUGUGACUUCUACAUAAGUCCAAUUACGAUUGCUUAACAUAGAGCUAAAUUUGACCCUCAAGGCAUAAUAUUCUAGUAAGUGAGAUUGUAAGUCUCCCAUUAUUUAUGGAAUUGUGUGAAAACUUGACCUUUUUUUUCCUUUCAUGAGAGUUGAUGGCAUACUUGUUGAAUUAUCCAAGUUAGAGCCCUUCUCAUGGAAGAUGUCUUGGUUUAAGGAUUCAUACUUGUGAAUGAAUGGUUGAGUAUUCUCCAAAAAAUGACUUAAUCAAUUAAAACUCAUCACUAACAUUUGACUAACCAUUGACUAACUUCUUAAUUAAUAUUUCUUUACUUUUAAGUCAUUUACUUUAUGCACUUUAAAUUUCAAGUACCUUUAUCAUUCAUUGUCAUUUACGUUUCAUGCAACUUGUUUAUGUUUCAAGUCCUUUUCACUUUGCUCAUUUGAGCCAUAUCUUGUGAUUAUGUAUAUUGUUUGUUUGUCUUUUGUUUUGUUUGUGGUCUUAGGACCUUAAAACAUUUAAUAACAACAAAAACCCUAAAAAAACAUUUGAUGGACUGUUGGAUUUCAUCUGAACUUCUAGACUUAGAACUAGGCAACAUUCCCUAUGCUAAAGGACUUAGCCAAUGCCAACAUUUGAGACUGAGCUAUCUUUGACUAUGUCUUUCAUUCGAUGCAAGACUUUGAGUGCCCUUGAUUCAUCUUCUACUCUGUCUUUGUGCUUAAUUGCUUAUUUUGUUAUUAUUGUCUAUGUUUGAUGUUUUGUUCUGAGUUGAUCAAAGAAUACUUCAUUAGCUACAUUGGAAGAUACUGAAGAAUGCUAGCUAUUGGAAUGCUUGCUUGGAUUAUGGAUAUCUUUAUUUGAUUCCUAGAUGUUAUAUGAUGCUUGGAUAUUUCUUGUUGCUUAUCAAAGUCCAAGGGAAAAUGGGUUUCUAUAUGACAUUCUUAUCUGUUGGAUUGCAUCCCAUUGGUCAGAUCUUUUCAACUCUUAAAAUUUUAAUUUCUUGCUUAGGGUAGUCUUUUCAUCUCCUCCCACUUCUUUAAUUUCAAAAUCUCUCCCCCUUUUCAAAAACUUUCUUUACUUGUGAUUUCAAAAUUAGAAAUGCUUUAAUGAUUAUAAACUUUGGCCUUAUGCCAUUGAACUUUUUAAAUUUUCCCUUCAAUCAAACUUGUAAAUAAACUUAACUAUAUUGACUUUAAUUUCAAAAAGACAAAAAGAACUAACAACCCCAUUCAAAUAUUUGGCCUUUUGUGCCUUUUCUUAUUAAACUUUUUUUGUUAAAAAUCGAUCACUAAUUCCUUUGAAAUUUUUACCACGAACUACGAGGUUUUGAUCCCUCAUUUUUAUGUUGGUAUGUAGGCAUAAGACUGAAGGUCUUGUCAAACACAAAAAUUUCUCAUCCUCACACUCUAUAUUUUAUCAAACAUAUUUUAUACCCAAAAAUAUAUGCACACAAAAAGGGCUCCCUAGGACACUUUGGGUGCUAACACAUUCCCUCUGUGUAACCAACCCCCUUACCUGUAAUCUCUGGCAUUUUAUUAUUUUUUAUUUUAAAACUUCUUAUCUUUGGGUUUUGUGCGUACUUUUCCCUUUUCCUUUGGAAACAAUAAAAGUGCGGUGGCGUCUCUGGUUUUACUGACGUCAAGUUCAUCCAUAGCUUGAUGGUCACGAAUUUACCGCUACACCUGACACUUGACUUUCCCCCUUAAAAUAUCUAAUGAUUCAAACAAGUUAGAUCUAGUUGCUAUGAGGGAUAAAAAGGGUAGUUAGGACACCAUUGUCCUCUCAACUCCCAAGUACUCUGAUUGUCAACCGUACUUAGUCAAGGGUCAUAUACUUGUCUCCCUCUAAGUUGCAAUGAUUAGAAUUGCCAAACUCUUUUUCACAAUUCAAGUCUCUUUUUUUGGAUGAAAAUGAGUGGUUAGGAUAACAUUAUCCUCUCAACUCCCGAGUUCUUGGAUUGUUGACUGUAUUUAGCCAAGGGUCUGAUGCUUGUCUCCGUACAUAAAAUCAACCCCAACAAAUCAAAUCAUCUUUUGCCUCAAUGCACAUCUCUUCAAACCUUUCAAAAGGACGUGUUACUUUCAUUCUACCGUGAAUGAUACUUAAGCCUCUAUGUGCGAGCAAGUAAUGUUUAACUCCAAGAGUGUGAUCCACGCGUAUCCAUUUUAUCGCAAACAAGGAAAUACUUUCCGCUCCCAUGACAGAGUAUGCAAGCAAGUGAACAGUAGCAUACAAAUGUCAAUAUUGUUCAGUAAAAACAAUCAAACAAAUGUUCUGUUUGUGAGUCGAACUACGGAGCUCUGAUUUCCUCAUUGCACGUAUGAGGAUAUGUAGGCACAAGGGCCUAAAUCCUUGGAGAGCACAUUAAAUUAAAAUUUAUUCUCUCUCCCACCUUAUUCUUUCAUCUCAUUCCCAAUAGCAAACAGCAUACAGAUAAAUAACAUCCAUACACAUUUGAUAUGAGCAAGUGGUUCCCAUGGAGUACCAUGGAUGUGAAGGGUGCUAAUACCUUCCCCUUACAUAACUGACUUAUGAAUCUGCUCUUGGUUGCGAGACCAUUCUCUCAUUUGGGGUUUUAUCUCUAUUCUCCCUUUCCUUUGGAAUAAAUAAAAUCUGGUGGCGACUUUGUAUUUUUCGCGGCGCGACAGGGAUGAACUUUAAAUUUGGUUUGGUGAAAUUCGACCAUCAUCAUCUAAAAGCCAAAGGUAUAUCCUAGUUGGCAUAUAUUAUUUUACUAAAUAGAUAGAAGUGAUACCACUAGUCAAUGUCGACCAAGAGGCGGUGAUAGAUUUUAUCCAAAGCCAUAUUAUUCACAGAUUUGGAAUUCCUGAGAUCAUAACAACUGACCAGAGGUUAGUAUUAACUGGUAAAAAGAUGCACAAUAAGGUCAAUAAUGGUCUAAUAAAAAAAACAUGUUGGUAAAAAGCCAAAGAAUUGGCAAAAUACAUUAGACCAGGUGUUAUGGGUGUGUCAAACAUCCCCUAAAGAGGCAAACAAUUCCACUUUGUUUUGACUAACAUAUGGGCACGACGCUUUCCUUCCUGUCAAAAUAUAUUUACAGUCGACUAGAAUUCAAAGACAAGAUGAAAUGCCAUCCGAACAUUAUUGAAACAUGAUGUUAGAUGAACUAGUCGAUUUAGAUGAAGAAAUAUUAUCUAUUUUAGAUGUGUUAAUAAGAUGGAAGGAGCGAGUUGCUAAGGCGUAUAAUAAGAAAGUUAAGACAAAAACUUUAUCGCUAGAAGAUCGUGUAUGGAAAUUCAUUUUUUCCAUGGAUAAAAAAGACAAAACCUUAGGCAAAUGGUCACCCAAUGGGAGGGUUCAUUUCAUAUCCUUCAAGCCUUUUUGAAUAACGCUUACGAAAUCUAAGAAUCAUCACCUAAUCAUCGAAUCCUAAGAGUAAAUGGUAAAUAUUUGAAAAGAUAUACACCUAUACUUAAGGAAAAUUAAGAUUCAACGAAAUAGUGUUGCACCAUGAAAAAUACAUGAGCGCAUUAUACACUCAAAAUACAACUGAAUCACCAUUGAAUUUUAUUUAUUCUAAGAGAAAGGAAAAAUAUCAAUAAAACCCAAAGGGAAGAGAAAAGGGUAAGGAAGUUGAUCAGUGCGUUUUCAUGCAUAUUCUUUCACUAUUAUGUUGCAACAAUUUUAGAGUGUCUUUUGUUACUUUUACUAUUUUAGUGUGUUUCCUUAGAUUAGCUUAUUGUUACAUUUAUUUUAAUUUCGUAUGGUAUUUUAUGAAUAAACAACUACUUACACCCUCUUGCUUCACAUGUCAUAACUUGGGCUACGAGAAUCGGAUCAAUGCGUUCUAAUAGGCACUGGAAAGUUAAGAGGAUAAGAUAAAUACUUUAUGUUGAAUCCAGAAGAAACUUUGGAGUUUAGAAGAGUCGAAUAAAUAGUUUAAAUUUCAUACUUUUAGAAAUUAAUUAUUGUUGGGCCAAUUUUGGGCCGUUUUUUAUGUUUUCCGUCCCGGUUGGGAGUAGAACCUAAUUCCUUAUUUCCUUAUAUCUAGUAGCAGCCGUGAUAUUGUUCAUCUAAUUAUUCAAUAUUCACGAUUUGAUGGAGACUAAUCCUUACGGUUAAUCUGCUAAAUCGUGUUUCCAUAAGGCUUCGAGGCUUUUACUUUUAUCAAUUCAAUUUCGUUUCUCUUUCAAUUUUGUUCUUUGAAAUUCAAUUGCUUAAUUUUUUAUUUCAUGGAAUAGUUUUAAUUGAUUUUGUUUGAUUGCAUCCUAACUAAAAUCUCUUUUGAUGUAGCUUUGUCAUUAAAUUGUGUAUGUUAAAAUCAUGUUUGCUUAAUUCAUGAUUGUUGUAAUCCAUUUAUGCUUGUCAAUCACUAUAGUGAUCGAUAGAGAUGGAAGCCGCAUAGGGAACCGAAACAUAAAUUAACUAGUUCAUAAAAUUUUGUUCAUAGAUUAACUAGUUCAUAAAAUUUUGCUAAUCAUUUACUUUCAUCUUAAUCGAAACUUAUAAAACCUCCAUUAUUUUUGUCAGUUGGUAAAAACCAAUACAAGAGUCCUUACGAUACAACUCUUUAGUGUCGCUUCCCUAAACUAUAGUUUUUAAUUACUCGUGUGCGACAGCGGAUUAGAAGUCGGUUAUGCAAGGGGAAUGUAUUAGCAUCUCUCAUAUUUGUUCUACUCAACGGGAACCAUUUUGAUUGUUCUUUGUGCAUAUGAGUAUUAUUAUCCAAAGAUUACUUGCGGUUGGUUUUAAUUAAGAGAAAAAUAAGUUUUUAAUUAAUGUGCUCGCCAAGAUUUUGAAACCUUGUGCUUACGUAUUCUCAUGGUGCAAUGAGAAAAUCAGAGCUUAGUAGUUCAUGGAGUAGAAAAUAAGUGGUUGUUGUAAGAUUUUAGGGAAAAAUGUUAUAAUCAUAUCCUAGAAGUGUUUUGACGUUAGUUGUUUGAUCCUGGUUUGGAUGCUUUAUGUUGUUAGCCUAACUGCUAAGGAAUAGAUUAUAACAAUUCUUUUAUGAAAAGAAAUUGAUGUGGUAUUUGAAAAAUUGUAAGGGUGGUGUCUGAACCAAGGACAAAAAUUAAAAGUUGUGUCUGAAAUAAGAACUAAAAUUGAAAGUGGUGUCUUAACCAAAUACUUAAAUUGAAAGAGUGGUGUCUGAACAAAGAACUAAAAUAAAAAGUGGUGUCAUAACCAAGAGUAGGAAAUAAAGGUGGUGUCAAAAUCAAGAGCAGGAAAUAAAAGUGGUGUCAUAACCAAGAGCGGGAUAUAAAAGUGGUGUCUUAACCAAGAAAGAAAGAAUUGUAAAAGUUUUCCUAAACCAAAGGAUUAAUAAGGUAAACAAGAAGAGUAUAGGUGCCAAAACCAAGAGGAGUUGUAUUGGAAUCAAUAGUGAAUAAUUGUGGAAUGUUUUUUAGAUUGGUUAUAAUUGGUUUUAGUUUGAAGAAGAAUAUUCAUACAGGGAGCUUUAUAGAAGUGUAUGAAUCAUUCAAGGAGAGAGAGUCUACACCCUAUAAGACCCUAAUUUUGACCCUAAGAUCCCUCAUGCUAUCUCAUCAUAUGCAUUGGCUUUGGGAUCACACCCGACAUCCUCCUAAUCCCUCAUUCAUUGGGUUUGCAUUGGGAGAGAUCACCAAGAACAUUUGAUUGUAUCAUACUUUCUUUUUCCUUGUUUACCAAUCCAAAUACCAAAAAUAUGUCAAUGUAUAGUUUACUUCUUUUGUAGGUAGUGUAUGUCUUCACCAAAGCCUCAUCAAGCUCAUAUCUAGGGUUUAAGACCCUCAGUGCAAGGAGACUAAUCAAGAUAUGGUUCACAUUGACUCUAGACAUCAUAUAUGGAUCCCCAUGAUCUUCAUUUAUCAUUUUGAUCAAGAAUUUAUCAACACUUUGAAGCUUGUUUGCCUUGGAAACCGUAAUUCAUCUGGGUAUCUUGUGUGACUUCCUCAGCAAGUUUCUUCAUCAUUUGAUCAAAUAUUUCAAGGGAUACUUCAUAUUACAUCAUAUUAUACAUAUGUGAUCCUCCAUGAGUCCAAGAGAUCAAGAGAAUUUCAAGUUUUUAAGUUGGUUCAUGGUGGUUGACCAGAGAAAGUCAACUGGUAAAAUCUGGGGUUCACUAGACCCUAUCUCCUACAAUGUUUGUCAUAUGAAAAUGUUUCCAAGAGAAAAGUUACUCCUUACGACAUUCCAAACAACUUUAAUGUUUAAGUUAAGAGCUAUGUUUUCUUGGAAAGUCAUUUUUUAUGAUGAAAGAUUAUAGGUCAUUUUGUUUAAACCCUAGUUAGGAGAUCAAUUUCCAAUGACCAUAACUUGCUCAAUUUGUAUGAGAUGAAAUCCGUUCAAGUUUCAUGAUUAAAUUCAAGGUAUCCUCUCCAACUUUGAUUUUGGAAGAAAUUGAAAUUCAACUUGCAAGGGCAUGUGCCAAGAGGAAACAUUAUAGGUCAUUUUGGGUAAUUAUCAUUGAACAAGUGAUUUUCCUCAACUUAUUAAAUGCAUAACUCCUACAUGCCAAAUUCAAAUGAGGUCAAAUUUGUAACCAAAUUGAAUAGGUUUGAAAGAACUACAAAUUUGAUGAGGGAACGUUUUCCAUUUGAAACACAUAGCAAAAGUUAUUCAAGGUGGAAGAAGUGAACAUUUGACUUAAUACAUAGAAAAUUUUCAAAUAUGUUUGAUUUUCGAAACUUUCACCUCAAAAUCCAUCAUGAUCCGAGCUUCAAAUGGAAAAGUGUUCUACAUGAAAGUUUUUUCCCUUGAUCUCACCUUUCCAAAAAGUUCAAUAUAAUAUCAUUUGGCCAAGAAUUGGAGGACUUGCACAUGGUUUCUUCACAAGGCUUCAUUUGGAUGAAAUUCAUGAUCACAUUCCAAUUACCAUUGCAUGAUCACAUGGCACACUUUCAGCAAUGCACAUGAGGAAUUUUGGAACUGAUUGCAUCAUUUCAGGGACCUAUCACACGCCCAUGCAAGCAUGCAAGAGAGAUUGCUAUUUUUGGCCAAUUUUUGAAAUAUGUAGAAAGCAAUUGCCUUGCCUAUAAAUGAGACCCUCAUCGAUCAUAAUUAAGGACACCUUGCCCAAGCUUUGAACCUGCAAUCCAAACCCUCACCAUUAGAGGAUAAUCUUGAAGGUUUUCAUUUGAAAAUCGAGUUUCAAAUCUCCUUCUGUUUUGAGAUUGAAACUCCAAAGCAAUCCAAACCCUCACCAUUAGAGGAUAAUCUUGAAGGUUUUCAUUUGAAAAUCGAGUUUCAAAUCUCCUUCUGUUUUGAGAUUGAAACUCCAAGAAUCCAAGCCUUUCCUUGAUCCAAUUCAACUUUCUACAAGCUUCUGAAGUCAAGCCAAGGCCAAUUGAAAGCAAUAUCAAGCAAGUUUCAAGCUCCCUCGAAGGUGAUUUUCUAGAAUUUUCAUCUCUUCGAUUCUCUCUCAAUUCUUCACCAUUCUUUGUGAUUUUUGGUUGGCUAAAGUCCUACCAAUGUAGGCAACAAGAUUGUGUUGCUUUGAGGUCAAAUCGAAGCAACUCAAUUCAUGAUCCUUAAAAUUCAAAUCCCUGUAUCUUUUUAUAUACUCGGAAUUGGAGAAAAUUGAGACCAGAUUCGUGAUCCUGAGCAUUUUCUCUUUGAAUUAGUGUCCUUGUUUUUUCAUUUUCCAUUGAGAUGAAGUUGGACCAGUCCGGUGGGGGUCACCUAAGAAGAUGACCGGAGCCCUAGCUCCGGUGGUGUGUUGUCGCACUUCCUGGCCAUCUGAUCAUGUUUGAAUGUUCUAAUUUGGACCUUUGAUUUGCAUUACCACACGUACAACACGUUGACUUGAGCCCACCAUGAAACGCAUGUGUGUCACCAUCAGAUCUGCCACCUUAAUUAAUGAGGGAGAUCUGAUGGCCCUUAUUUUUUCUUAUUUUAUUUUAAUUUUUGAUUUUAUAUUUAAUCCUUUUAUUUUGUUUAAUUCAUAUUAAUUUCAUUUUUUAUCCAAAAAAAAUAUGGGACUUUCACCAAAAAUAUUUAAAUAUUUUUCUCUUUCUUAUUCUGAAUUAAAAUUAUUUUUUGGAUUAAUUUUGAUAUUUUUCAUGAAUUAAAUGUUUUUAUGCAUAUUUUUAAUUGUUUAAAAUUACUUCCGACUUUUGAAAAAUCAUGAAACUUUUUGUCUAAGGUCCUUUGACCUUGUGUGACCUAGGAUAAAUCUCUUGGCUAUUUAUUUGGUGUUUUGAAGAGAUUUUAGGUUUUUACCAAAUUAAAAUGUAUUUUAAUUCAUUUUUAAUUGAAUUUUUAAUUGAUUAAAUGUGUAAAAAUUGUGUUGAGCUAUUUUUAUGGUCUUGUGAUGUUUGACAUUCUGUUUCGGCCUUGGUCAAGGUUGAUUUGACUUUUGUUGGAUCAAAACCAUUGGAUUUGGGGAUUGAUGAAAUGUAUAUUUCAUCUCCCAAAAUGAAUUGAUGGUUUUGAUUCGAUGAAAAUCCUUCCUUUGUCAAUUUGUGUUUCUAUCUUCCCCUCCCUCUUCAUCUUCAUCCACAUUCUUUCUCAUUCCGUCAUUUGACCAAUGAAAUAUCUAAUGUCUAAAGGCUAAUUGGUUCACCAAUGACCUUGUGUUAGAUGAACCAAUACAAGUAUGACUGAGAUAGGUUCAUCCCUCUUAAUCUUUUCUUUUAAUGUAUGGUAUGUUUUAGGAGUUUGGUUCUUCAUAUCAAAUCUCUAACAUGCAUUAACACCUAAAAAUGUAUUGCCCGGCCUCAGAGUUGUGACUUCUACAUAAGUCCAAUUACGAUUACUUAACAUAUAGCUAAAUUUGACCCUAAAGGCAUAGCAUUCUAGUAAGUGAGAUUGUAAGUCUCCCAUUCUUCAUGGUAUUAUAUGGAAACUUUACCCUUUUUCCUUUCAUGAGAGCUAGUGGCAUACUUGUUAAAUUAUCCAUGUUGGAGCCCUUCUCAUGAAAGAUGUCUUGGUUUAAGGAUUCAUACUUGUGAAAGACUGGUUGAGUGUUCUCCAAAGAAUGACCUAAUCAAUUAAAGAAAACCACCACUAACACUUGACUAACCUUUGGCUAACAUUUGACUAAUUCUUAUUAAUAUUGCUUUACUUUCAAGUCAUUUACUUUAUGCAAUUUAAAUUUCAGUCACUUAUCAUUCAUGCUUGGAUGUGGCUAUCUUUAUUUGAUGCCUUGAUCUUCAUAAUGUCUGGAUAUUACUAAUUUCUAUUUGAUUAUUGCUUGAUUCAAAGUCCAAAGGGAAAAUGGAUUUUCUACAUGACAUUCUUGUCUGUUGGAUUGCAUCCCAUUGGUCAGAUCUUUUCAACUCUUAACUUUUAAUUUUAUGCUUAGGGUAGUCUCUUCAUCUCCUCCCACUUCUAAAAUUUCAAAUCUCUUCCCCUUUUUAAAAACUUUAUUUUCUUGUAAUUUUAAACUUAGACUUUAUUUUAACGAUUAGAAACUUUGGCCUUAUGCCAAUGAAUUUUUAAAUCUUUUCUUAAUCAAUUUCGUAAAUAAACUUAAUCUUAUUGACUUAAAAAUUUCAAAAAGACAAAAAGAACUAACAACUUCAUUCAAACUUUUGGGCCUUUUGUGCCUUUUUCUUAUUUAAACCCUUUUUUUAAAAGCAAUUCACUAACUUUGAAAUUUUUACCACGAACUACGAGGUUUUGAUCCCUCAGUUUUAUGUUGGUAGGAAGACACAAGUCCGAAGGUAUUGUCAAACACAAAAAAUAUAAUUAAUGAAUCUCAUCUCUCCAUUCUAUAUUUUAUCAAACAUUUUUUAUACCAAACACACAUGCGCACAUAAAAAAGGUCUCCCUAGGAGUACCUAGGUCACUUUGGGUGAUAACACCUUCCCUCUGUGUAACCAACCCGCUUACCUAUAAUCUCUGGCAUUUUAUUAGUUUUGAUUUAAAAACUUCUUAUCUCUGGGUUUUGUUCGUACUUUUCCCUUUUCCUCUGGAAGCAAUAAAAGCGCGGUGACGACUCUGAAUUUAUUGACGUUAAGCUUAUCCAUAGCUUGAUGAUCAUUAAUUUACCGCUAUAGAAAUUAAAUGGGAACUCUGCUGGGGACUAGUCCUCAGUGGGUUUAGCCUACUUUUUUAUGUGCAUAUAUUUGUAUAUUUGAUGUUUGUAUAUUUGUGUAUGAUAUAAUUUGUCUGUUGUGCUUGGUAAUCUCUGAGUGGUGAGAUAAGUUCUAACCUGAACUUGAGUGCAAUUAAGAUAGAAGGAUGGUAUAGUAAUGUUCAACUUGUGUGGAGUAGUCUUUAACAAGUUGGCUUGAGACCUAUCUACUCAGUGGAGAGCCUUUUUGAGUUACUAAUGUCACAUAAGUUAUUUGUGGUUAGGCAUUACUUUCUCUGAUUUGGGGUCUGAGAAGCUGAGGACCAUAGAACAUUUAACCCAACUUGAUCUAUUUAGGACGUAGCGUGGAGACUGUUCAGGUGUAGACCUGAUAACCGUUGUUAUGCGAUACUACACUCAGAUAAGUUUCUCUUGAGAAUAUUAUGGGUUGAUAAGUCAGUCAUCCUAACCUAUAAUAUCUGAUAUAUGGGAUUAAGACUCUGGGAACUUUUUAGAACAUGAUCUACAGGUUCUUAUCCUUAGUAUAAUCCUUUGGGAUGGUUCUUAACCUGACUCCAUGCUCGUGACUCACAACAAACCCUUUGAUUCUUGGUUGAUCUUAUCAACUAUCAUCAAUAUCAAUGGAACUUGAGUGUGGAUAAGGUGAAAACUGUAAUCCACCAAAAUGGAUGAUUGAUCUUGAUGAUGACUUGAUCCAUUCCCUGACCUUUGUUUGUGAUUGCCUUGUGUGUGAUUGUUGCAUUCAUGCAUACAUGUGCAUCAUAACAUUCAUCACAGAAAAAUAAAUUUCAAGGGAACUGAGGUCUUGUUUGCAAAUAUUUUCAGACCAUGGACUGUGGACGAAGGAAUACUAAGAACUACAGUUCCAGAUGUCUUGAUUUGAAAGAGAUAAGGAAGUUGUCAUAUUUUGUAUUAGAUCCCUUGGACUUCAAGCAACAUCAUGGGAAGAUCUUGUCUGUGUUACCUGCUGAUGUGGUUGUAAAACUUCUGAGCGUUUUGGUUCAGUUCUAUGAUCCUCUCUACUGGUGCUUCACUUUUCCCGAUUAUCAGCUUGUGCCUACAUUAGAGGAGUAUGCCCAUAUCUUGGGAAUACAUGUAUCUGACAAGGUACCUUUUAGUGGAUUGGAGGAGAUUCCCAGAUCUCAUAUUAUAGCUGAAGCUCUUCAUUUGAAGAAAUCUGAGAUUGAUGCUCACUUGGUGAAGAAAUGAGGUAUUCUUGGGUUGACUUCUGAGUUCCUCAUUGUUAAAACUAUUAUCUUUUCACAAGCCGAUAGUAUGGAUGCUUUUUAAGCCAUCUUUGCGUUACUCAUCUAUGGUCUAGCUUUGUUCCCUAACAUUGACAGUUUUGUUGAUGUUAACGCCAUUAGAAUCUUCUUGAUCGGGAAUCCUGUUCCUAUUCUAUUCGGUGACAUGUAUUUCUCUUUGCACUUGAGGAAUUCUAAAGGUGGUGGGACUAUUGUGUGUUGUGUUCCUCUUUUGUACAAGUGGUUUAUUUCACACUUGCCUCAUACACCUGCUUUCUUGGAGAACAAACAAUGUCUACGGUGGUCUCAAAGACUUAUAUGUCUCACUAAUGAUGAUAUAGUUUGGUAUGACUCUGCACUGAGUAGCUUGGAUAUUAUUGAUAGUUGUGGUGAGUUCUCUAAUGUGCCUCUCAUUGGUACACGAGGAGGAAUUAACUACUACCCUGUUUUGGCUCGUCGUCAACUUGGGUUCCCCUUGAGAGGUGAACCUAAUAACACUCAGUUAGAAGGUCUUUUCUAUCAAGAUGGUAAAGAUCCCCAACAUUUGAAGCAGAGGAUGGUGCAUGCUUGGCAUAAUGUGCAUAGGAAAGGAAGAUCCGAGCUUGGUCUAUGCAACUGUGUAGCUUUGGAAGCUUACACUAUUUGGAUGAAGAAGAGAGCUUUAGAGCUAAAGAUGAUGUAUGCUUGUGAAGGACCUAUGUCUUUGGUUGUGGCUAAGCCAUUAACUCUCCCUAACCAAGAUGUAGAGGAGUUGAAAGACGCACUUGCCAAGAUGAAGCAAGAGAGAGACAUGUGGGAAGAGAGGUUCCAUGCUUUGAGCUGAAAGCAUGAAGAGUUGUAGCUUGAUUCAAAAGACAAGGAUGCGCUUAUUGAGAUUCUUGAAGACCGAGCAGUGAAGAGACAGAGAGAGCUAGAGGGUCUAUCUUCCUCUAGCAUGCCUCAACCUUCUGGUGCUUGGAAGAAGAUUGUUGAUCAACUAGUUCUUGAGAAGGCUCAUGUGAAGACAUCCUUUGAGUCUGAGAUUUGAUGCGUCCGAAGGAAGUAUGCACCCACAGCCAGAUCAUCUGACCCAGUUGCUAAGGGAUCCUUAGGAUGAUAGUUUCCUUUUCUCUUAUAUUUGUACUUUGGUCUCUGAACUUGUACUCAGUAUAAUCCUUCCAAAUUUUAUGAAUGAAAAGAGAUUAUUAUGGUCAAUCAAAUUGUUUUUAUUAUAUAUAUUGCAAAUAGAACUUCAUAUGUUCCUUGAAAUUAAAAAAAACAAAAAAAAACAUUGUAUUUCAUGCAUCAUUUGCAUAGCAGGUUUUCUUCCUCCAGAUGUCUUAUCAGUUCUUCUUCUGUGCAUCAGCCAAGCUGACUCACCGCUAUAACACUCGUGCUAAUCAACCAAGGACCAUGGAGCAUUUAGAGUAAGAGAACCGAGAGCUGAAGGAUGAGAUUUUUAGAUUAACGGUGCUGAUGGAAUCUGUCAUUCCUGCACAGGACCAGUCUUCACCAACUCCUGCAACUCCUCCCUAGAGGUCUGUCAUUUCCAAGGUUGCUACCUCAAUUGUUCCCAUUGUUGUUGCCAAACAAUCCGGUCCUUCUAUGCCUGCUGGAUUCCCUUGGGGGAUGUCAUCCAACUUUAUGUAAGAAGGGUAUGCACCCAUAUUUGUUUCUCUACCGACAUCUAGCCCGAUCAUGUCAGUGUCACCUCCUGUUGUUCACGCUCAGCCUUGUGUUGAGGAUACUAUCUACCACUCUGAGUUGUAUGAGGGUCCAGACGUGUACGAGAAAAUAGACGAGAUGAAAGAUCAGUUCCUCGAGAUGCGCAAAGAGUUGAAGACUUUAAGAGGAAAAGAUUUGUUUGGGAAGAGUGUUGUUGAGCUCUGCCUGGUCCCCAAUGUUAAAAUCCCGAUGAAGUUCAAGGUCCCUGACUUUGAAAAGUAUAAAGGCAAUACUUGUUCGUUGAGUCAUCUUGUUAUGUAUGCCAGAAAAAUGUCUACUCAGACUGAUAAUGAUCUGUUGCUGAUUCACUAUUUCCAAGACAGAUUGACUAGAGCUGCUUUGAUAUGGUAUAUAGGUUUGGACAGUGCAAGCAUCCGUACUUUCAAAGACUUAGGCGAGGCCUUAGUCAAGCAGUAUAAGUACAACAUGGAUAUGGCGCCUGAUAAAGACCAGUUGAGGUUUAUGUCCCAGAAAGAUAAGGAGACAUUUAAAGAGUAUGCCCAGAUAUGGAGAGAGUUGGCGGCCCAGAUUAGUCCACCCUUGGAAGAGAAAGAGAUGACGAAGAUAUUCCUGAAGACGGUACGUUCGUAAUAAUACGAACGUAUGAUUGCAAGUGCCCCCAAUGAUUUUAUCGAAAUGGUAAACAUGGGGAUGAGGCUAGAGGAAGGAGUCCGUGAAGGACGUCUGUCUAAGGAAGAAGCAUCGUCCAACAAGAAAUAUGGUGGGAGUUUCUCCAAGAGGAAGGAAGGAGAAACUAAUUCAGUAUCUAUGGGAAGGCAGAGGAGGCCUCAUGUCAGAAAAAGUUCUCAACCUCGUCAACAUCAACAACAAGUUUCAUCAGCGAUUCCUGUAUUUUCCAACAAUUCCAACAAUCAAUCAGUCUCGAUUUAGCAACAACAACGUCAAUAAUAACCGCAACAAAGAACCAACAACAACAACAACAACAACAACAAUCACCAACAAAGCUUUGAGAGGAAUAAGGUAUCCUUUGACCCUAUUCCUAUGUCGUAUGCAGAAUUAUACCCGUCCUUGGUUCUCAAGAACCUCAUUCAACCAAGAAAUCCUCCACAGAUUCCUGAGCCACUUCCAUGGUGGUUCAAACCUGAUUUAUAUUGUGCUUUUCACCAGGGAGCCCCUGGACAUGACAUAGAGAACUUCGAUCCAUUGAAAUAUGAGGUCCAGAAACUCGUGAAGAGUGGUAUGGUGUCCUUUGAGGACAAGCGCCAAACGUGAAAGCUAAUUUGUUGCUUGCUCAUGGUAACACUUCUGUCAACAUGGUGGACGACUGUCCAGGGAAUUUCCGAGUUUUUGAUGUACGUCGUAUCCAAAGAUAUCUAGUGGAGGUGCAUAGAACCUUGUGUUUAAUCAAUGACUAUGAGCACGACCAUGACGGUUGUGUAAUCUGCAAUGUGAACCCCCGUGGGUGUAUGAUUGUCAAGAGAGAUAUCCAGAAGUUGAUGGAUGAGAAUGUAAUUCAGAUUCAACAGUCAAGAGAUAUAGAUAAUAUGAACUUGAUUGUACCAGUGUUUAAAACCCCUGAGCGAGUACUAUUCAGUUUGAUAGAAGCAACGAUAACAAUGUCAAUAGAUCAGUAUCGUCGUUGGUUAUACGGUUAGCGGUCCCUAUUCCGUAUACAUCCGAUAAAGUUGUGCCAUAUCAAUACAAUGCCACAAUGAUUGAGAAUGGUCAAGAGGUUCCUAUACCAAUUGCAGAAUCCGUGGUGAAUAUUGCUGAUAUAGCAAAGUGACCCGUAGUGGUCGUGUGUUUGGUCCAGUUUUUCCAAAAGAAAUAAAAGAAGUUUCCGCAAGUAAGAGGGCAGAGAUUCCGGUGAUGAAUCUGAUUAGUGCUUCAAUGUGUCAGUCUGGUGAAUCCAGUAAAUUGAAUGCUAACGAUGAUGAUGAAGUUUUAAAGUUGAUUAAAAGAAGUGAGUUUUUCAAUGUUGUAGAGCAAUUGCUCCAAACUCUGUCAAAUAUCUUCAUGUUGUCACUUUUGAUGAAUUCUAAAGCGCAUAGGGAGGCGCUGCAGAAAGUUCUAGAGCAAGUUUAUGUUGAGCAUGAUGUGACCGUGGAUCAGUUUGACCACAUCGUUGCCAAUAUUACUUCUUGCAAUAACCUGAGCUUUUAUAAUGAAGAGCUUCCUGAAGAAGGCCGAAAUCACAAUUUGGCGUUGCAUAUUUCAAUGAACUGUAAGGAGGACGCUAUGUCCAAUGUGUUGGUUGACACUAGUUCAUCUUUGAAUGUGCUUCCAAAAUCAAAUUUAUCAAGACUCUCUUAUCAAGGCACCCCAAUGAGGUACAACGGCGUGAUUGUUAAAGCGUUCGACGGUUCUCGUAAAACUGUCAUUGGUGAAGUGGACCUUCCAGUUAAGAUAUGCCCGAGUGAUUUCCAAAUUACUUUCCAGGUAAUGGAUAUCCAUCCGGCCUACAGUUACUUGUUGGGAAGGCCAUGGAUUCAUGAAGCAGGAGCUGUGACGUCUUCUCUACACCAGAAGCUGAAAUUUAUGAAGAAUGGAAAGCUUGUCGUUGUUGGUGGAGAGAAGGCAUUAUUGGUGAGCCAUCUGUCAUCUUUUACAUAUGUUGAAGCUGAGGAGGAGGUUGGAACGCCGUUCCAAGCCUUGUCUAUUGCUGAUGAAAUAAAGAAAACUGGGGCACCCAUGUCUUCUUUGAAAGAUGCACAGGAGACAAUUCUGACUGGCAGCAUUGACAAAUGGAGUCGUAUGGUAGAGAUUUUCGAGAACAAGAAUAUGGCCGGAUUGGGAUUUCAACCAGGGUCGUUCAACAUCAGGACUAAAGUUCUGCAAUCGAGUUUCUGCAAUGGAGGGUUCAUUCAUGGGAAUGAUCAACACUCAGCUGCCGUGAUUGAAGACAGUGAUGAUGAAGAUAAAGUUUGCGUCAAUUUUGUGAUGCAUGGCCAGACUUGCAACAAUUGGGUUGUUGGUGAUGUUCCUACUGUUACUCAUCGCUCUAAGUCAUUUGUUUUCAUUUAUUUUUAAGAUAAAUCCUUCUCCUAUGCCUAAGGGAGAAGUGAACAUUGUUGGGCAUUUUCUGAUUAUCAUAAAUAAAAGAUAAUUUUAUUCAUCCACAUCUAUGAUGUUUUUAUUUUUACCUUUUUGCUUUUUUCUGAAAAUGGUAAUCACAAAAAAACAUAAAUAAAUAAUAAUCUUCCAUCUGCAUAAUAUUUGGUUGCAAUGCAUUUCCCUAAAAUCAAAAUAUCAAAUCAUUAUGCAGGUUGGUUCUCAAACCCAUUGAAUACAAUGAUCCUACUCCCUCUCCAAACUUUGAUUUCCUUGUGUUUGAAGAUGAGGAAGAGAUUGAUGAUGAAGAAACAUCUGAUGAAUUAUCGCGUUUACUUGAGCAUGAGGAAAAAUCCAUUCAUCCGUUUGAAGAGCAAAUUGAAUUAGUCAACUUGGGUUCUGAAGAUGAUGUGAAGGAAGUCAAGAUUGGGUCUCAACUAUGUCUAGGAGUUAAGAAGGGGUUGAUUGAUCUUCUUCGAGAAUAUUCUGAUGUGUUUGCUUGGUCCUAUCAAGAGAUGCCUGGUUUGGAUUCUUAGAUUGUGGAGCAUAGAUUACCGUUGAAGCCAGAAUGUCUGCCGGUCAAGCAGAAGUUGAGGAGAAGUCAUCCUGAUAUAGCAGUUAAGAUCAAAGAAGAAGUGCAGAAGCAGAUUGAUGCUGGUUUUCUUGUGACCUCCGAAUAUCCGCAGUGGGUGGCCAAUAUUGUGCUUGUUCCUAAGAAAGAUGAAAAUUUACGCAUGUGUGUUGAUUAUAGAGAUUUGAAUAAAGCCAAUCCAAAAGAUGAUUUUCCUCUGCCACACAUUUACAUGUUGGUAGACAAUACAGCUAAAUUCAAAGUCUUUUCGUUUAUGGAUGGAUUUUCCGGUUAUAAUCAGAUCAAGAUGACACCUAAAGAUAUGGAGAAGACCAUAUUCAUUACACCCUGGGGAACAUUAUAUUAUAGAGUCAUGCCUUUCGGUUUAAAAAAUGUUGGUGCAACAUACCAGAGAGCUAUGACUACUCUUUUUCAUGACAUGAUGCAUAAAAAGAUUGAAGUCUAUGUUUAUGAUAUGAUUGCCAAAUCGAGUGAUUGAAGUCUAUUCCAGCGUUUGAGGAAGUAUAAACUCCAUUUGAAUCCCAAUAAGUGUACUUUUGGUGUUCGCUCUAGUAAGUUGUUGGGCUUUAUUGUCAGCGAGAAAUGUAUUGAGGUUGAUCCUUCCAAGGUUAAACCAAUACAAGAGAUGCAUGUGCCCAAAACUGAGAAGCAAGUCAGUGGUUUUCUCGGUCGCUUGAACUAUAUCUCAAUAUUUAUAUUGCAUAUGAAUGCCACAUGUGUGCCUAUUUUCAAGCUUCUUCGGAAAGAUCAAUCUUGUGAUUGGACCGAGGAUUUCUAGAAAGCUUUUGACAGUAUCAAAGAAUAUCUGCUUGAGCCACUAACUCUGUCUCCGCCUGUUGAAGGAAGACCGUUGAUCAUGUAUCUGAAUAUGCUUGAUGAGAGUAUGGGUUGUGUUCUUGGUCAGCAAGAUGAAUCUGGAAAGAAAGAAUAUGCAAUCUACUACCUCAAUAAGAAGUUCACCGACUGUGAGACUCGGUAUUCUAUGCUUGAGAAGACAUGAUGCGCAUUGGCUUGGGCUGCUAAGCGUCUGCGCCAGUAUAUGUUAAAUCAUACUACUUGGUUGAUAUCCAAAAUGGAUCUAAUCAAGUAUAUUUUUGAGAAGCCUGCUUUAAUUAGGAGGAUUGCCUGUUGGCAGAUGUUGUUAUCCGAGUAUGAUAUUGAAUAUCGAUCUCAAAAAGCUAUCAAGGGUAGCGUCUUGGCUGACCAUUUGGCUCACCAACCUAUUGAAGACUAUUAGUCAGUGCAGUAUGAUUUUCCUGACGAAGAGAUUUUAUACUUAAAGAUGAAAGAUUGUGGUGAACCAUUGGGGUAGUGAUUAUUACUCCUCAAGGUACUUAUUUUCCGUUUACAUCUAAAUUGACUUUCAAGUGUACAAAUAACAUGGAUGAGUAUGAAGCUUGCAUUAUAGAGCUUGAAAAGGCCAUUGAUCUCAGAAUAAAAUAUAUCGACGUCUAUGGAGAUUCAUCUUUGGUUGUGAAUCAGAUCAAAGGUGAAUGGGAGAAAAAUCAACCCGAUUUAAUACCAUAUAGAGACUAUGCGAAGAGGAUUUCAACUUUCUUUACAAAAGUUGAAUUUCAUCAUAUUCCUCGAGAUAAAAACCGGAUGGCAAAUGCUCUUGCAACGUUGGCUUCCAUGAUUGUGGUGAAAUUUUGGAAUGAAGUUCCCAAUUUGAUUGUGAUGCAUCUUGAUAGGCCAACUCAUGUAUUUGUUGUUGAAGAAUUCAAAGAUGAAAAGCCAUGGUAUUUUGAUAUCAAAUGUUUCCUCCAAAGUCAGAUUUACCCGCCUGGGGCAUCUUUGAAAGAUAAGAAGACUUUGAGAAGAUUAGCUAGCAACUUCUACCUGAAUGGUGAUGUGCUUUACAAGAGAAACUUAGAUAUGGUUUUUCUCAGAUGCGUGGAUACACACGAAGCAAAAUUAUUGAUGACUGAAGUCCAUGAAGGUUCCUUUGGUACCCAUUCCAAUGGACAUGCUAUGGCAAAGAAGUUGUUGAAACAGGUUACUAUUGGCUGACAAUAGAACCUGACUGUUGCAAGUUUGUGAAGAAAUACCACAAGUGUCAAAUUUAUGCAGAUAAGAUUCAUCUUCCUCUGACAUUGUUGAAUGCUAUUUCCUCUCCAUGGCCCUUCUCCAUGUGGGGAAUUGAUAUGAUCGGUAUGAUUGAGCUCAAAGCUUCGAACAUACAUCGUUUUAUUCUGAUGGCUAUUGACUACUUCACAAAGUGGGUUGAAGCAGAGUCGUACGCAAAUGUAACCAAGAAAGUUGUUGUAAGGUUUAUCAAGAAUCAUAUUAUAUGUCGUUAUGGUGUGCCAAGUAAGAUCAUUACUGAUAAUGGAUCGAACUUAAACAAUAAUAUGGUGGAAGCUCUGUGUAAAUACUUCAAGAUUGCACAUCGUAAUUCUUCUCCCUACAAACCUAAGAUGAAUGGGGUUGUUGAAGCUGCAAAUAAGAACAUCAAGAAGAUCAUUCAGAAGAUGGUUAUAAAAUAUAUGGAUUGGCAUGAGAUGCUCCCAUUUGCUUUGCAUGGAUAUCAUACAUCUGUCCGCACUUCAACAGAGGCAAACCCUUUCUCACUUGUUUAUGCCAUGAAAGUUGUGCUCCCCGUGGAGGUUGAGAUCCCAUCAUUGCGUGUUUAGAUGGAAGCCAAGUUGACUGAAGCUGAAUGGUGCCAGACCAGAUAUGAUCAGUUGAAUUUGAUUGAAGAGAAAAGAUUGACUGUCAUGUGUCAUGGCCAGUUAUAUCAGCAAAGAAUGAAGAAGACAUUUGAUAAGAAGGUCAGGCCUCGUGUGUUUAGAGAAGGUGACCUCAUGCUCAAGUAGUGAUUUUGUCUUUCAAACCUAAUGCUAGGGGCAAAUGGACUCCUAAUUAUGAAGGUCCAUAUGUUGUGAAGAUAGCCUUUUCAGGCGGUGCUUUGAUUCUUAUAACCAUGGAUGGUGAAGAGUUCACUCAUCCUGUGAAUGCCGAUGCAGUCAAGAAAUACUUCGCCUAAAAAAGAAAAGAACAGCUCGCUAAGUUGAAAACCCGAAAGGGCGACUUAGGAAAAAAUGAGCGUCUCGGUGGAUUAAAAACCCGAAAUGGUGAUCCAAAUGAAGUGUGUGAAGAAUGUGUGCAGAUGAAGUAGCACAAGAACAAGUUCAGUAAGGAUGCAGGAAGCAGGUCGAAGGAAAUUCUUGAAGUCACAUACUCUGAUGUAUGUGGUCCUAUUCAAGUGGAUUUGAUUGGAGGUAACAUAUGAUUUGUUACAUUCAUAGAUGAUUUCAAUCGAAAACUAUGGGCUUACCUGAUCAAGAAGAAAAGUGAAGUGAUUGAGGUAUUUUCCAAGUUUAAAUCUAUGGUCAAAAGAAAAAAGCAGUCGAACGCUUAAGACUCUGAGGACUGAUGGUGGUGGAGAAUAUGUAUCGAAAGACUUCGACGCAUUAUGUGUGAAAGAAGGGAUAAUGCAUGAGAUAGUGCCACCCUACACUCCACAUCAUAAUGGAGUCGCACAAAGGAAGAAUAGAACCAUUAUGAAUAUGGUGAGAAGUAUGUUGAAAGUCAUGCAUCUAACCAAAGAAUUAUGGGGAGAAGCUAUAUCGACUGCAACAUAUAUCCUGAACAAAUAUUCAAUGAAGAAGCUAGAAGGAAUCACGCCAAAAGAAUGUUGGUCUGAUGUCAAGCUCAACUUGAGUUAUCUGAAUGUAUUUGGAUCUAUAGCACAUAGACAUGUGCCAUAUCAGUUGAGAAGAACACUUGAUGACAAGUUAAGUCAGAUGAUCCUGAUAGGAUAUCAUUUGAUUGGAGGAUACAAGUUGUUCGACCCAAUGAACAAGAAAGUGGUGACCAGCAGGGACAUGAUCAUAGAUGAGCUUAAGGAAUGAGAUUGGAUUUAGAAUGUUAAGAAGGAUUCAGUGAGAAUCAUAUGUGAUGAACCAACUAGUGAAGUCGAAAGAGAAGUUCGACAAGAAGUCAGAGGUGAAGCAGGCCCAAGAAGACCUCAAAGAACAAGACACAUGCCUGCAAGGUUGCAAGAAUGUGUGAUUACAUCAGAUGAUAUGGUCAAUGAAGAAUUUGAGUUGGUACACUAUGCUUUCUACGUAGAUGUCGAACCAGUCAAUGCAGCUGAGGAAUUGAAAGAUUCAAAGUGGGUGAAAGCAAUGAAUGAAGAAUUGAAGUCAAUCGAAGUCAACAACACUUGGUCACUUUCUGAAUUUUCCAAAGACAAGAAGGCAAUCGACGUGAAGUAGGUAUACAAGAUGAAGUUGAAUCCCAAAGGAGAAGUGACUCGACACAAGGAGAAACUUGUAGCGAAAAGAUUUCUUCAGAAAGAAGGAAUUAACUUCGACGAAGUUUUUGCACCUGUUGCUAGAAUCGAAACAUUCAAAUUACUUGUUGGUCUAGCAAACAUGAACAACCGGUAGAUAUGUCAGAUCAAUGUGAAAUGUGAUUUCCUGAAUGGCCCCUUAGAAGAAGAAGUUUAUGUUGCACAACCAGCUGGGUUUGUGAAACAAGGCAAAGAAAGAAAGGUGUACAUGCUUCAUAAAGCCCUGUAUGGACUUAAACAAGCUCCAAGAGCUUGGAACAAGAAGAUAGAUGGCUUUCUAAGGGAGAAUGAAUUUGUGAAGUGUACAACUGAAUAUGGAGUAUAUGUAAGAAGGAGAAAGAGUGAAUUGCUUAUACUAUGUCUCUAUAUCGAUGACCUGUUGAUAAUAGGUAACUGCAAGAAGGAGAUCAAAGACUUCAAAGGUGAUCUCAACAAGGAAUUUGAAAUGACAUGUUUGGGUGACAUUUCAUAUUUCCUUGGCAUCGAAUUCUACAUGAGUGGUAGAUGUUUGGUGAUGCAUCAAAGAAGGUAUGCAGGUGAAAUAAUCAUGAUAUUUGAGAUGCAAGAUUGCAACUCAACUUUGACUCUAGCUGAGCCCAGAUUAUAACUAUUGAAAGAUUCAGAUGAAGAUGAUGUUGACCCUAAAGGAGAAUUGCGGUCCAAAACGCAGCGGAAAUUAAAAUUUCUCCUUUACAGAUCCUUACGAAUGGUCAUGAUCAGUGAUAGAAUAUUUACCUCUUGUGAUGGUUGAAACCUUUGGUGCAGAUCUCUUGUGACGAUUGAAACCUUUGAUGCAGAUCCACGAAGCGAUCACGAACGUUGAACGAUGACAACGUCUCUACUCAGUCCACACGAACGGAUUCCUUCAAUCUCAGUACUAGCUGGUACGAAUGAAGGCUUUGAGAGAGAGAGAGAGAGAGAGAGAGAGAGAGAGAGAGAGAAAACAAAAAUAAUGCAACCGCAAUGAAUGCUUCUGCACAAGGUUUCUAUUUAUAGAACCAUUUGUGUGGGCUUCAAGCUAAAAGCCCACUUAAGUGUAUUUUGGCCCAUAUCUUAUAAUAUGCCCAAAAUCACUUAAGCCCAUGGUACCUUACCAUAUUUCGUAUUCUACUUAAGUACACCAUACCUUACGAUGUUCUACAAUUCACUUAAGUGCACUGUACCUUACGGUGUUCCUUAGUUACUAUAUCUCUCAUCAAUUCAUCCUUUGUGUGUGACCCUGUAGGUUUUCGCGACGUUGGCAAUUAUAUUAAAUCACACAUUUAACAUAAUAAACAAUGAGUGUAUCUAGCAACACAUCACUGCUACCCAAGAUACAAAAAUGUCAUGUGAUCUGACAAAUCCUUUUGUGAUAAUACUUAUGUGUAGAAUUACCCUUUUACCCUUAUGUCUAUAUUGAACACAAGGCAUAAACCGUGUCAUCCUUGUCCAGUUCAAUAUUGGGCCCAUAGACAUUUAUCCUGUUAUGCAGGAUGGGCAAAUUCCAUCUAGGUCACUCAUGUCCCUCAGCAUGCUUCGUGGAGUACCCAUCAACUGUCUUUAUGGUUAUCCAGUUACGGACAACGUUNNNNNNNNNNNNNNNNNNNNNNNNNNNNNNNNNNNNNNNNNNNNNNNNNNNNNNNNNNNNNNNNNNNNNNNNNNNNNNNNNNNNNNNNNNNNNNNNNNNNNNNNNNNNNNNNNNNNNNNNNNNNNNNNNNNNNNNNNNNNNNNNNNNNNNNNNNNNNNNNNNNNNNNNNNNNNNNNNNNNNNNNNNNNNNNNNNNNNNNNNNNNNNNNNNNNNNNNNNNNNNNNNNNNNNNNNNNNNNNNNNNNNNNNNNNNNNNNNNNNNNNNNNNNNNNNNNNNNNNNNNNNNNNNNNNNNNNNNNNNNNNNNNNNNNNNNNNNNNNNNNNNNNNNNNNNNNNNNNNNNNNNNNNNNNNNNNNNNNNNNNNNNNNNNNNNNNNNNNNNNNNNNNNNNNNNNNNNNNNNNNNNNNNNNNNNNNNNNNNNNNNNNNNNNNNNNNNNNNNNNNNNNNNNNNNNNNNNNNNNNNNNNNNNNNNNNNNNNNNNNNNNNNNNNNNNNNNNNNNNNNNNNNNNNNNNNNNNNNNNNNNNNNNNNNNNNNNNNNNNNNNNNNNNNNNNNNNNNNNNNNNNNNNNNNNNNNNNNNNNNNNNNNNNNNNNNNNNNNNNNNNNNNNNNNNNNNNNNNNNNNNNNNNNNNNNNNNNNNNNNNNNNNNNNNNNNNNNNNNNNNNNNNNNNNNNNNNNNNNNNNNNNNNNNNNNNNNNNNNNNNNNNNNNNNNNNNNNNNNNNNNNNNNNNNNNNNNNNNNNNNNNNNNNNNNNNNNNNNNNNNNNNNNNNNNNNNNNNNNNNNNNNNNNNNNNNNNNNNNNNNNNNNNNNNNNNNNNNNNNNNNNNNNNNNNNNNNNNNNNNNNNNNNNNNNNNNNNNNNNNNNNNNNNNNNNNNNNNNNNNNNNNNNNNNNNNNNNNNNNNNNNNNNNNNNNNNNNNNNNNNNNNNNNNNNNNNNNNNNNNNNNNNNNNNNNNNNNNNNNNNNNNNNNNNNNNNNNNNNNNNNNNNNNNNNNNNNNNNNNNNNNNNNNNNNNNNNNNNNNNNNNNNNNNNNNNNNNNNNNNNNNNNNNNNNNNNNNNNNNNNNNNNNNNNNNNNNNCUAUUCUAGGGACUUUAUUAAACAAACAUAAUAAAGAAAAAGCCUUUUAUUAUUAAUAAAUAAUUCGAUACAAGUACCAAAAGUAUUGGCCUCUAGGGCUUACACCAACAAUCUCCCACUAGCACUAGAGCCAAUCAGGCAUACCCCUAAUGCCCAUAGAUCUAGUAUGGCCAUCAUGCUUCUGCUGCGCAAGAGGCUUUGUCAGUGGGUCAGCAAUAUUGUCAAGUGUAGGUACUCUGUAUAUUUUCACAUCUCCUCUAUCUAUUAUCUCUCGAAUGAGAUGAUAACACCUAAGUAUGUGUUUGGAUCGUUGGUGAGAUCUAGGCUCCUUAGCUUGUGCGAUAGCACCAUUGUUAUCACAAUAGAGAUCAAUGGGAUCCAUAAUGCUAGGAACUAUGCCAAGUUCACUAAUGAACUUUUUGAUCCAAACAGUUUCCUUUGUUGCACUUGAGGCAACAAUAUACUCGGCCUCGGUUGUAGAAUCAGCAAAUGUAUCUUGCUUUGAACUUUUCCAGCUCACAGUGCCACCAUUUAAGAAAAAAAACACAUAACCAUUGGAAUCAUGCAUAUUAAAGCAUCUCAACACUUUGUCUAUGUAUGUACUCUGACUUAGGCCAAGCAGUUUUGUGAUCUAUCUCUACAGAUUCUGAUUCCUAAUAUAUAGGCUGCUUCACCUAGGUCCUUCACAGAAAAGCAUUUCCCCAACCAAUACUUUACUUGUUGCAGGGUAGGGACAUCGUUUCUAAUGAGUAAUAUGUCAUAUACAUAUAAUACCAAGAAAACGGUCAUGCUCCCACUAACCUUCUUGUAGGCAUAAGGCUCAUGUUCGUUCUUGAUCCAUGAGUGAUACAUCACCUUGAUCAGUUAUGAGAUAUCCAUAUCUCUCAGGUAGGUGACGUAUCCUGCCUGACCUACGCUGGUCUUGUUCUACUUGAGCAGGUUGCUCUUCCACAACUACUUGUGUUUCCUGCUCUAAAUAUCCUCAUAGUUUCAAUGCUUUGUGAUUUCUUCGAAUUUCUUCAGAGGCUCUACUUUCCUCCCACUAAUUCUUUUAAGAAAUAAAAUCUUUUUCUAGGAGAAACUCAUGUAGAGCGACAAAUAUUUUGCCCUCAAGAAAAUUGUAGAAGUAAUACCCUUGUUUCUUUAGAUAGUCCCCACAACUAGCAUUUGUCAGAUUUGGGCUCAAGCUUUAAGUUGGAAACUUGUCGUUUUCACAUAAACUUCAGCACCCCGAACUCAUUGUAAGACAUAUGGUUCUUGCUGUUAACCACCCUCAAAAUUGCCUCCUCUCGUUGGGACUUACAUUAACAUUUUUUUGCAUAUCAUUUGUUAGGUCAUUAGGUCAUUUAUAUUGCAUAACAUGUGGUUACAUUAGUGCAAGCGUAAUUUCUAGUCUUAUCCAGAAGAUGAGGAAGUCGAGAAGGUGCAAGCUAGGGUUUUGACCUGAAUCUAUUGGGCCAUCUUAGUAUUGACCCUGUGUCAAUAGGGUUUAAUGAUCUCCAAGGGGUUGAUUUGUCUUUCUCUCUUUGUUUGAAAUGAUGACAUCACAUCAAAAUCAUGAUUGGUGAUGUCAAUCAGAAGAUGAUAGCUAAUUCCUUGAGUAUUGAGGUUUUGGACCACUGGUCAACCCUAAUCAUUGUAUUGGCAAUAAGGGCUGGAUUCAGGAGAUGGGGUUUAUGAAGGAGAUGAGGAUCAUUUUUUGACUAUGAUGGGAUUAUUUGAGCUAGUUUCACCUUGAGCGAUUUCAGUUGAAUGGGUUCAAAUUGAUUCUAUGAUUGCCAGAUUCAUCUAUCAGAUUGAAAAGUCAACUGUGGUCACCUGUACAUGCGAUCUGUGGAGUUGGAGUGGAGUAACAAGUUUUUGAUACACUUCCAUGUCAUGUUGAACAAGUGUUUGAAUGACAUUGCCAUAAGCUUAAAAAAUGAAGAAAUCAAGUCUAGGACAAAAACUGCCACAAAAGAGUGACUGGUAAGUGAAGUCUUCCAAAAAUGGAAAGUUUUUGAUCCUCAAAACAGAGUCAAAGGAAGUCUUCAGAAUGACAAAUUGUUCAACAUUGAUGAGAGUAUGUAGAUCUUGGUCUCACCUUUNNNNNNNNNNNNNNNNNNNNNNNNNNNNNNNNNNNNNNNNNNNNNNNNNNNNNNNNNNNNNNNNNNNNNNNNNNNNNNNNNNNNNNNNNNNNNNNNNNNNAGGUGUUCACACAUACUUUCCACAGAAGGAGUUCUCUCAAACAAUAUAGUGUAAUUGUCCAUGAGGCGUUGAAUACCAUCUUUCAACUUCCAGCAGCUAUCAGGUUUGUAGGCACAAUAAAAACAGUUUUCGUUGCAACCUGGAAAGAAUCCAGCCUGCACCAGCUUCUUCUUGAAAAUAGAUAAGGGAGUAGUCACAUCUUCUACUGAGGAAACAUAUGAAACUUCAUCAACAGCAUUAACAGUCUUCUCAUGAUUGGGCACGGGAGCAGUAAUCACAUUUGGAGUCCCAGGAGGGUCAAAUUCAAUCUCCCCAGCUUCAAUCAUAUCUUGAAUCUUAUUUUUCAGCACCCAGCAAUUGUUGGUGUCAUGUCCCGGAAAAUUAGAAUGAUAGGCACAUCGUGCAUUAGGAUUGUACCGAGGAGAGGAAGUAUUAGGAUUCUGAGGAGGGUCCUUCAAAGUAAUGAGUUCCCCUUUUAACAUGUGUUGCAAGGCUUGGGCCAGUGACAUGUUGAUCUUGGUGAAUUGUCUUCUAGGCUUCUGUUGAUUGCUCUGUGGUAGCUCUGGUGUUGCAGGAGUAGGAUUAGAAAUGUGAACUGCUCCUANGAACUGCUCCUACGGAUUGGUGACUUCUGUUACGGCCAGGUUGACCAUACACAGCAUUAGACUCCUUCUUUCCACUAGGGGGCUUCUUUGCAGUGCUUGAUGAAGAGGCACCCACCUGUAUCUUACCACUUCUUAUGCCACUUUCCACACGCUCUCCAGUCAUUAUCAGCUCAGUGAAACCAGAUGAUGAGCUUCCAAUGAGGUGACUAUAGAAAGGACUAUUCAGCGUACUCAUAAACAUAUCCACUAGCUCCCUGUCAGUCAGAGGAGGUUGAACUCUGCCAGCCAGGUCUCUCCAUUUCUGGGCAUACUCCUUGAAAUUCUCCUUAGCACCCAUUGACAUGCUUUGUAGCUGCAUGCGAGUAGGUGUUAAAUCAGCAUUGUACUGGUAUUUCCUGUAGAAGGCCUCAGCAAGAUCAUUCCAAUCACGGAUAUUGACACUCUCCAAUUGAUAGUACCAUUCCAAUUGAGCUCCAGACAAGCUCUCUUGGAAGAAAUGAAUUAUCAGCUUGGGACAUGAGACACCAUCAUAUACCAUAAAAGCAGGAACCUUGAAACCAAUAGGUAUAACCACUCCAGAUAUUAAACUCAGAUCUUCAAAAUCCAGCCCAGAAGAUUUUUGUAACUCCAUAGCAUUCAUUCUACCCACCAGCAUCUUGUACUUAUCUUCAUUAGGAUCAUGAUAAUAAUUUGCUUCAGAAUCAGAAUCUCCCACAGUAUCAUGGGGACCACCUCCCUCUUUCUCAGAAUUUUCAGACUCAUAAUCAUCAACACCAUAGCAUUCAUUCUAUCCACCAGCAUCUUGUACUUAUCUUCAUUAGGAUCAUGAUAAUAAUUUGCUUCAGAAUCAGAAUCUCCCACAGUAUCAUGGGGACUACCUCCCUCUUUCUCAGAAUUUUCCGACUCAUAAUCAUCAACCUGUUCCUUUGUCUUGAUAGGGCCUCUGAAUCUUCUUCCCAGAUUGAUAAGGCCUCCUGAUCUUCUAGUCCUCUUCUUUUUCUUAGCCAGCAAUGUCUUCAACUCAUCUUGCCCCUUGGACAAGUUCAGAAUCAACUCUUGGAAUUGUGCAUUCUGAGCCUGGAGAUCUUUGACAGUCUGUUCAAGAGCCAUUUCUGCUGAAAAAAACAGGGAGAAGAUAAGAUACCUGUUCAUAAGAAACCUGUGAUGCAAUAAUAUGGUAUGUCGAUGCUUAUGCAAUAUUUUCAAGGACCGUAGGAUUUAAAUUUGUUUAAACCACCAAAAAGUAAACUUUUAUUAGUAAUAAACUUGUUUGCCCCUUGGGCUUACAAAAAAUGAAAUGAAUACAAAAAAAAACCACCAAAAAGUAAACUUUUAUUAGUAAUAAACUUGUUUUCCCCUUGGGCUUACAAUAAAAAUGAAAUGAAUACAAAAAAUGGGGUUUUAAGUCUCCCAUGGACGUUUCCUCUUUGUGUUGAGGUGUGAGUUGAGAUUCCGCUCCUCGUGAAGUUGUUUUGUUAGCUCCAGGAUUCUUUCCUGACUUGCCUUGUAAUGAGUCUCAAAAGUAUCUCUUUGCUCCUUCAACUGGAUCCAGGACCCCUGUAACUCUUCCAUGUCAGUGGGCAUGUCUGGAUGAAGAAUGAUGUAAGGAGUAUCCCCUUCAGCAACAGGCUCCAUGGUAACUGGCAACAUAGUAGGAUAUGGCAUCAUAAGAGUCUGAGCACGAGAUCGUACCCAUCUGAGAUAUGGUUCCAUAGGAAUAGUGUACUUGGGUUCCAGAGUCUUGCUGUCAACCUUGUUCACUUUACCCCAUGCUUGUAUGAACCUUUGACGGUAACCUUGAAGAUCGUUGUCGUAGUCGAACACAAUACCCUGAAUAAGCAUGUCAUGAGGACCAUAGCUCCAAGCGUAAUCAAGACUGAGCUAGAGCUUAAGAAGGGUUGUAGGAACUGCCCCUCUUAGUGCCAAAGAGUGGCCAGCAUUAGGGAAACUCCCCACAACGGUCAGAUGAUGGUACAUUCUUCAUGAGAGUCUAGAGCACCAUGGAAUAUCGUAAAUUGAGAAAGUGACAUAAUCCUUGCUUGCGGGACCCCUGAACCUUGCUUCAUUCUUCAUCCACUGAUCGAGAGGUGAGAAAAAACCACCUAAGUAGAUUAGAGGUACUGCAACACAUCAGAGUUCCUCGUGCCUUCGUAGUCGAGUAUGAAUGAGAGUGUAAGAUGCUGCUCCAAGUAAGGNNNNNNNNNNNNNNNNNNNNNNNNNNNNNNNNNNNNNNNNNNNNNNNNNNNNNNNNNNNNNNNNNNNNNNNNNNNNNNNNNNNNNNNNNNNNNNNNNNNNCUCUCUCUUUUGCAAAAAGCCUCAGAACCAUUACCCAUGGCUUCCUCAUCCCGAAGACCUACCGGUAAGAGAUCAAGGGAAACAUCCUCUGCCUCCUUACCCAUCACCGCUGUGUCAUUAGUUCCACCAGCACUUGUCGACACCUUCAACAAGGACAUUGGUAAAAGAGGAGUUGUGCGGCAACAUGCAUUCUACAAACUCACAGCAGAGCGAAUGCAUCUUGUAGAAAUCAUGUCUCUGCUACAGUAUCACGACAUUGUCAACUUCCUAGAAUGCAAUGCCAAAUAUAGCGAGGACCUGGUCUGUGUGUUCUACACCUGUCUUCAUGACAAGUUUCGUGGUCAAAGGUUUCACUCCAGAAUCGGCACAACAAAGGUAUCCUUUAAGUCUACCGUUUGGAAUAAUUUUUUUGACACGACUGUGGCUGCUGAUGAAAAUCCUCUCGCUGAGGUAACUGAUUCUCACACAAUCGAAGGGUAUGAAUUUAAGAGCGCUCUGAAAGUUAUGCUGAAACGACCCUACCCGGACCACAUUAUAAACAGUGACGCGUUCCCACGAACUGUCACUGUCGGGAAACUGAAAACAUGUGAGCGCAUUCUCCAGUGGAUUGUGUCACGCAUACUGCGACCUAAGAAGGGUGGUCUCUCCCGAGUUGAACAAGCUGAAGUUCAUCUCAUAUACAUCUUAAAGAAUCAGCGGAAAAUAAUACUGCCCUACUUACAUUUUGCUAGUUGGGAGUUCAGCUUUACGAGACCUCCGGACGAGGAACGACUCUGGCCUUAUGGAUCUUUCAUUUCAAGGAGCCCGUUCCUUAGGCAGCUGACGUGAUUAUUCGUCCUUUCCGUAUUACCUCCAUUUCCUCAGACAAAAAGAAUUCAGCCCAAAACUUUGUCUAUGAUGGGAUAAUUUUUGCGUGUGCAUGAGCGGAGAAUAUACAAAUUUGUUCGCCGCAGGGCUUUGUUCCUACAGAAUUGAAAGAAGAUGAUUGAAAGUGAAGAAGAAGAUCAAGAGGAAAAUGAAGAAGAAGGAGCUGGACAAGCAUUUGACCAGCAUGAUAGUCCUCUACAAGCGGACACACACGACUACAAUCACUCCGCUUGGGUUCAGAUUUCGCAUUCAACUGAAGAAAAUGCUCCCAACCAGGGUGGCUGGGGUGAAUGGCAACAUAUGGGCUGGUCAACGCAACGACAAUUCUAUCAGCCAUAUCAACAUGGUGCUGAAGCAUCUCCACCGUCUCCUCCGUAACAAGGCAACUCGUCUGAGCUUUUAGAUAUGAUGAGAAAUAUGCAACUGGCUCAACAAUCAUUUAUACAAACUCAGGAUGAGCGCUAUGCUCACAUAUGCAGCCAGCUUCAAGCACAUAAUGAGAGGAUCGAUAACCUCUCUACCAAAAUGAAUGAUCGGUAUGCAGCAUUCACCGAGACAUUUGAACGACAGGAGCAAUCAGUAGAUGUGGGCCUCAAUUAUCUAAGCAGUGUUGUUGACCAAAUAACUUCCUUGGCAGACCCUGACAGAAAUCCGGAUAUCCGUCCCCGUCGAGGUCGAGGCCAUUAGGACAUAGAACUACAUAUGCAUCUACAUUUUUGUUGUUUAACUGUAUUCAUUUUUCUGUUAUGCUUGUUUGUGCAAAUCAAAUUUAAUGAUUAUCUCCGUUUAAUUAAUGAUUAUCGUUCAGUAAUGAUAUUUAGUGUGAUAUUGUUAUCUGAUAUUGUUAUCUCCUGUUGUAUUUUUAUGUUACGUUGACUACUCGUUCCUUUUCUCUUUUUGAUGUUGUCAAAUGGGGAGAAGACCAUGUACCAAACCAAAGCCAAGAUGAUAUUCACAACAGUUUGUUAGACAGUCUUAGAUUACAAAAGAAAGGGGAAGUGUGUAAAAUAUGUGUAAAUAUUGCAUGUUGUUUUCUCUUUGGUUUCACACAGGUUGUCAUCAUAAAAAAGGGGGAGUAUGUAAGGGCAAACUGUCAUACAACAUACAAUCAUAGGUUUCGAUGAUGAACAUGUUGUUUUCUCUUUGGUUUCACACAGGUUGUCAUCAUAAAAAAGGGGGAGUAUGUAAGGGCAAACUGUCAUACAACAUACAAUCAUAGGUUUCGAUGAUGACAAAUGACCACCAUGGAUGAAUCGGCAAUGUCGAUCCCACCUCUACAAAACAAAUGCAACGUAUCACCUAUCAUAUCCUUUUCAUUGCUCAUCUGUACUGUUAUAUUUUGUACAACAUACGUGGACAAAGUGUGGUCAUGACAAAAGGCAUGAAAACCACAAAAAUGUUAUUUUUUGCAGAUCUGCAGGGGAUGAGUCGACCGUAGGGUCGGCGCAUGAAAUAGUACAUUCCCCACGGGUCAGCGCAUGAAAUAGUACAUUCCCCACGGGUCAGCGCAUGAACACAACACUUUUCCCACGGGUCAGCGCACAAGAUGCUUGCGUCGAUCGCAGGGGUCAGCGCAUGAACCACGGGUCAGCGCACGCCGACCUAUGGUCGACGCAUACUGAAGCAUUUUUCAGUCUGACCAAAACUGCAGGCCAUGCGUCGACGCAUAGUCCUGCUGAUGUCGACCGUUCGUGCCAAAUUCAGUUUUUCUGAUGUUUCCCACUCUGUUUGAAAAGCUGUUAAGUGGGUGGUUUGGUUGGUUACUUAAAUAGAAUUUCAAGUUAUUGUAUCAACUAAUAUUUUGAUAUUUUGAUUCAAGUGUUCAAAGAACAAGAAAAGUGAAAUAGGUGUCCAAGAUUCUUCAUCUUCAUCUUCAACAUCUCACAACACAUCAACUACACACAACCAUAUUUGAGGUGCUUUGUGAUGGUUAAGGUGAUAAGCGUUCGAAGUCCGUGAUUGGGGAAUCCGGUUCGGGUUGAAGCUGCGAUAAGUUUUUCUUGAAUAAAAACCUUUAAGGGUUUUGUCCUCCAAGAUAGGUUUUGAUUUUGGGGGUUUUGGACGAAUUGCUUCAUCAAUUUUCAGCUAGCGAAGGUGAUUGAGAAGAGGAAGUCUUCAUCAGUCUAGUAGCGAUUCAGUGAUAUUGAAGGAAGAAUUCGGCGUUCAUUUGUAUGUAGUGAGAAUCAGCCGGGCCGAGGGUUUGAAGAACUGAGGGUUAUUCAACAAAGGGGAUGGAAUCGGAGGUCUAUAACAACAAUCGAAGGGACUUGAUUCAUCUUUGAAUCAAGGGCAAGGAGUGGAAGCAACAUUCAACGUCUUGAGAGUUCUGUGAUAUUUGCUUUGCAAUCCUUGUAUAAACGCGUUAAAUUCAACAGGUGAUAUCAUUAAAUCAUCUCAAUUCUAGUUUUAGAAUUGAGGCAGACGCUACCCCGAAGCGAGACGGAGCGGGAACUGCCUCAUUAAAAUCUUUGUCUUCUCUAAUUUUCUGCAUAUUGUUUUCAGCUUAAAAAUUAAGUGAUUUUGUAUAAGCACUUUUAUCAAACUUUGAUAUUAAUUGAGUAAGAGGUUAGAACUCUGUUUUGAAUCCAAAGUAUAAUAGGGAUAUUGUACUAGAUUAAUUGGAAUCACUUACUCAACACAAAUAUCACUUGGAGUGUUUUCACACACCAAGUGUUUGAUAAUUUGCCUAAACCAAAAUUAUCUUAAGUGUGUAUCUAGUUUGAUUUGCUAUUUGAAUCAUUGGAACUAGGAAUUCUAGUAAGUGAAACAAAUCAUUGAUUGUGUGACUAGUGUAGUGUAUUCUUAUUCCACAUUAUCACUAAUCAUAGGCUUGACACAUAUCCGGUUUUCCAAUAACAGUUCGUUUUAGACUAUAUUUUCCUUGGCCGCUUCCGCACUUAAACAAUUUUCAAAACCAAUUUUUAAUUGGUAGCGCCGACUUAUUUUUAAUUGGGAUCUAUUCAACCCUCCCCCCCCCCCUUUCUAGAUCCGUGCCAUAUAGUCUAACAAAAGGUGUUCACUUUGUACUACGAAAUCACUUGUAAGAAAAACUUCCCAUUCCCAGCGCGAGGAAGCAAGAGUUUUCUCUGAGAGUGCUAUGUACGCUUGAAUCACCACAUUUAUUUCAAUGCAACUUCCCUACUUUUCAAUUGUUCCCGUUGAACAUUUUAUUUUAAUUUCUUUUGCUUUUGAAUUAUCAUUUUACGUUGUCGUUUACGCUGUCGACACUAACUCUAUCACGAUCAUAGAGUUUACCAAAAGUGUGUUCGUAGUAUACAUCUUUUGAAUGUUAUAGCGCUGUCGGUCACGAGUCACCUAUAGGCGAUAACAUUGUCUAAAACCGUUCGUGUGGAAAAACCCUACGCUUAUUCGACACUUUGUUGGGAGUCGUUCCUCACAAAGUCAUUUCGUCGAAGUCUGAACAAGUCUUACUUGCACUAGCACAUGUCCUAGGAUCAACUGGUCGAUCCUGCAAGUAACCCUUCGUUUUAAGACCAGGGAGGAACAACGGUUGUUUACCAAUUUCCACAGUAAACACUCAGCAAGGAUGAUUAAAGAUUUAAUCAAGCUAUGACAUUUGAAAUUUAAUCAUGACAAGGCUAAGGUACAAUAUAUUUUGAUUAAAAAAAUGAUAUCCAGCCUCAGGACUGACUAAAUUAAGAGGACCGAUCUCACCAUCCACUAAAAGAGUCCAUUUAAAAUUGUUAUGGUACGAUAAUAUGCCCAAAAGGGGAGCCCAAUCAUUCGUUCAAGUCAUUUCAUCAUUCAUAUAUAUAACAUCUCACGUAAGAUUUGAGGUAUUCUUUCUCUAAUCCAUAACUCACUUUACUUGUCAUUAUUUUAUUAACUUGAACGUUGGAGUGCUAAUUAACCUUACUAAUUCACCUCUAUGUGAUCGUAUCGAAAGUCUUCUAAACCACAUCAAGAUUCUAAUUUAUUAUUUCACAGAUCAUUUAUGAUUCUCAAACAAAACAAAAACCAACACAGAUUAACCUAAUACAUAAAUUUUAACUCAUAGUAGGUAUUAAAAAUUGAGAUCUUAAAAGAAAAACACUCUUACUCUCGAACAUAAAUCUUUGUCAACAUGUCAACAAGUUAUCUUAUAAAGGAAGAAAUUAUAAUAUUUUUUCUUCAAAUAAAUUAGUUUUCAAUUCAUUGUAAUGUGUUUCUUUUGUCUAGGUGCAUGGUGUAAAACAUUCUCUAAAUUAUUGAUUUUUCGUCAAAGUAAAAAUUGAUUUAAAAACGUACGUAAUGUUAGUACGACAAAUUAAGGAUCGCGCGUUGAAUACAUUAGCGAUUCCAAUUUUUGUCGGCACGUUCCUACACGGAUGCAAUAACAGUUUACAGUUAUCAUAUGAUUAUGUCCAAAACAAAACAAAUAUCAACAUUAAAAUAUCAUUUUGGAACAUUCCCAGCAACUUCUUGUUUAUCUAGUAACUUCUUUUUUCAACACAAUCCGAACACGCCACUAUACUAAACCGACAUCACCAAAACAUAUCUAUAUAUAACAACUUUGAUUCACAUUUUACUAACAUCAAUCAAUCAUCCAUCACAAUGAAGGACGCUGGAUUCGAGCAUGUUAUAAAAUAUUUUGACGAAGAUGGUGAUGGAAAGGUUUCACCAGCAGAGCUACGACAGAAGCUGGUACUGAUGGGAGAGGAUGUUUUGUUGAAAGAAGCUGAAAUGGCUAUUGAAGCAGUGGAUUCGGAUGGUGAUGGUUAUUUGAGUUUGUCGGAGUUGAUUAGUUUGAUGGAGGAAGGUGGAGAGGAAGAAAAGUUGAGGGAUUUGAAAGAAGCAUUUGAGAUGUAUAAUGAUAGUGAUAAGUGUGGCUUUAUAACACAUGGAGGAAGGUGGAGAGGAAGAAAAGUUGAGGGAUUUGAAAGAAGCAUUUGAGAUGUAUAAUGAUAGUGAUAAGUGUGGCUUUAUAACACCAAAGAGUUUGAAGAGGAUGUUUAAGAAGAUGGGUGAGUCCAAAUCUAUCAAUGAAUGUAAAACUAUGAUUAAACAUUUUGAUUUGAAUGGGGAUGGUGUACUUAGCUUUCAUGAAUUCACAAUUAUGAUGCAAUGAUGUCAUAUUAUAGUUCAUCUUUUCAUUCCUAUUCUCAUUCAUUUACGUGUAAAUAUUCUUGUAGAUUUUAUUACCAUAUUAAAUGAAAAGGAGAAUAUAAAAGAGGACGUUUCGUAGCCACUACUUGAGCAAUGAAAGUCGUUUUUUUGCGGUAGGAAAUGAGAAAAUAGAGUUUAUUUUGUUAAAAUUUAUCUAUUGGAGAUUCAUUUUGUCAAAUCAAUGUUAUUAUAAAUGUGUUAGAAGCUACUCCUUCCGGUGUUAAAUAUAAGAAGAAAAAAUUAAUAAUUAUAAAUAUAAAUAAAAAUUAUUUAUAAUCAUUAUAUUUAGUGUCACUAUUUUAAAUAUAUUUCUAUUUUUUUUAUUUUUUUAAAAUAAAAAAUAAAGGUACAAUUAGAAAGAGCGAAAGAAUUUUAAAUAUUUUUUUUUAUAGAGGGUGAGUUUUUUUUAUAAAUUCUCUUAUAUAUAAGAAUGGAUGGAGUAUUCGUUAGGCCCCAUCUCUUACCAUGGGUUGGAGGUAUGUUUGAUCGGUAGCAUUAAUCUUAGAAAUGAAGAAGUUGGAACGUUCAAAAAACAGUUGGAUAAAAUCUCAUUAUUUAAAAUUAAAACUUUGAAUUACUUAUAACAUAAAGAAAAUCUGAAAAUAGAAUUAAAAAUGUUUCCUCAGAACCUUAGAUACGAGUUUUUAGAUUCGGAAUCCAACCAUCCUGGCAUUAUCAGUGUUGAUUUAGGAAAAAUCUAAACUGAUAAACUAUUAGUUAUUUUGAAUAAAUACUCUAUGGUCGUAGGGUACACCAUUAGAGAAAAACUAUAAGCCUUUUAGAUAGACUAAACCACAAUACUUUUGAAUAAAUACUCUAUAGUCGUAGGGUACACCGUUAGAGAAAAAUUAUAAGCCUUUUAGAUAGACUAAACCGCAAAAACUCUUAGAAUUUGGGGUUCAAUUAGUACCAAAGAAAUGAGGAAUAACUUUAAUAAAGAAUGACAAGGAUGAAUCUAUUGUAUAAUGCGCAUGCAACAUUUCAAUGAUGUAUGGGAUUAACUUUCUUAGAUUUUCAAAAAGAUAUUAUAGAAGUUUUUAUGGAUGAUUUUUCAGUCUGCAAUUCGAGUUUUGGCGACUGUCUUACCAAUUUAAAAAAAAGUACUUGAAAGAUGUGUAAAGGUCAAUCUAGUCCUAAACUAAGAAAAGUGUCAUUUUAUGGCCAGGGAAGGCAUAAUGUUAGGACAUUUGGUGUCCAAAAGAGGGAUAGAGAUGGAAAAACCUAGAACAGAGGUGAUAGAAAAAUUAUUACUUCCCACCUCUAUAAGAGGAGUUAGGAUUUUCCUUGGUCAAUUCUAUCGCCUGUUCAUUCGUGAUUUAUCUAAAAUUUUCAAACUAUUAACAGGACUGCUAAUGAAAAAUGCAGAAUUUAUAUUCGACGAACAAUGCCUUAAGUCCUUCAACAAAUUAAAAGGAGCGCUAAUCUUUGCACCAAUUAUGCAACCUCCUUAUUAGAAUAUAACAUUUGAGAUUAUAUGUGUUGCUAACGACUACGGUGUCGUGUUGUUCUAGGGUAAAAGAAGGACGUGAAAAUGCACACAAUAUAUUACGCAAGCCAAAUCCUGGAUGAAGCAUAAAUAAACUAUGCAACAACAGAGAAGGAAUUAUUGGUUGUAGUUUUUGCAAGUGAUAAAUUACGAUCUUAUUUAGUAUGAUCGGAAAUUAUAAUUUAUACAGAGCAUGCAACCAUUGGCAUGCUUUUGCUUAUGAAGGACAUGCAUGUACAUAAAAAAUUAUUGAAAAAGUACUUCAAGUUGGUCUAUAUUGGUUUAGCCUCUUUAAGGAUGUGCACUCAUUUAUUAAAAAGUGUGGCUAGUGUCAACGCACUAGAAAUAAUUCAAAGAAAGUGAGAUGUUGCUAAACAACAUCCUAGAAGUAGAGAUUUUCGAUGUUUGGGGCAUUAACUUUAUGGGAUUGUUUCCCUCUUCCUUAAGAAAUCAAUAUAUACUUAUGGCAUUCGAUUAUGUUUCUAAGUGAAUUGAGGCCAUAGCUUCUCCAACAAAUAAUGCCCAAACAGUGAUUAAAAAUUUGAAGAAAAUCAUUUUCCCAAGUUUUGGUGUGCUAAGAUUUGUAAUUAGUGAUUGGAGGUCUCAUUUCAUUGCUAAAUAGUUUGAGAACUAAUGAAGAAAUUUAUAGUGAAACAUGAAGUAGAAACUCCAUAUCAUCCACAGAUAAGGAGCCAAUUAGAAGUCUUCAAUAUAGAGAGAAAAAGCAUCUUGAUAAAGAUAAACUCUUUCUCAAGAAAGGAUUGGGCCUUAGAGUUGGAUGAUGCUCUCUGAGCAUGCCGCACAACAUAUAAGACGCCAACUGGAAUGACUCCAUUUAGAUUAGUGUACGGAAAAUGAUGUCAUAUUCAUGUAUAAGUAUAUCAUAAAGCUUGUUAGGCAAUAAAGGCCUUUAACCUAGACUCCAAAAUUAUCAGCGAAAGAAGGAUAUUGUAACUCAUUAAGUUGGAGAUUUAAGACUCGAUAUAUAUAAAAAAUUUAUACUUCAUAAAUAAAGAACUAAAAAAUUGCAUGACAAGUGCAUUCUAAAAAGAUACUUUAGAGAAGGAGAGCUAGUCUUGUCAUUCAACUUUAGGUUAAAGCUAAUUCUUGGAAAGCUAUGUUACAGAUGGUUUGGUCCUUUCUUGGUGAGAAAGGUAACAUCGUAUGGUGCAGUAGAUGUAUGGAAUAAUUUUAAUGAAUUGUUUACGAUAAACGAACAAAAACUCAGCAUUAUAUUGCAGGAGAUAAUGCUGGGAAUGGGUAUGUUUCAUCUUGAAGGAACCCCCUUGAAGGUUUAAAAUAAUUCGAUCAAGCUAGUGACAUAAAAGGAGCUCUGCAUGGGAGGGAAAUCCACAAUAUCGUGUGUUUUUUAGUGUUUUGUUUACGUAAUAGGACUAACAUUGAUUAGAGACUUGACGAGUGAUACAGGUCGAUUAAUGAACUUAGAAGAAAACUUAAAAAUAAUUGGAAAAAAAUCUCCCAAUCAGACCAAAUUACAGUCAAGUAGUAAUUAAGAUUAUGGUCACAAUUUGACCACCCCGCAAAUCCCCAAAAACCGCCAAAAAACCUAAGUGAGACAGGGAGAAUUACGGGUGGCCUGUAAUUAGAAUUAUGCUUGUAAUUCUCCCGAGGCAGAAAAACAAAAAACACUAGCCAAAAUUAUGGUUGUCCCGUAAUAAGAAUUAUGCUCGUAAUUAUGGCGCGCCCAAAAAUUUGAAACUCCCCAUCUUUCAUAGUGGUGGAUAUCACACCCCGAUUUCGACCCUAAAUCACCGAUUCAAUACAUUCAUCAUAGUUGUUGCAUCUUUGCAUAGCAUAACAUGCAUUUCAUACCACAUAAUGCCUAGAAUAUCAGUCGAAAUAAAUUUUCGGAUCUACAGGCAAACCGGUUAAAUCAAUUAUCAAAUGUGCGUCAAAACAACGAGCGGAAUAUUUCAAAAUCAAGCUUGCAGACAUCAGUUUUAUUAAUAUAUGUUUCGUGUAGUUUAACCUGGUGUGCUCAAUUUAUUUGUCGGCUACUUUUUCGGUCACCUUUUGAUCCGUCUGAGUGUUUUAACCGGACGUUUUCUAUUUCAAAAUUUGCAAAAACAUAUAUGUUUUCAAGGAGUUUAUUUCGCACUAAUCAUUGUGGUGCAAUCAUUUUAAUUUUUUCAGGCACUUUCGCACCCGAUUUUUAUUCAUUUUCAAUCAUUUUAUUUUUAUUUUUUGUCAAAAUUUUCAAAAUAAAUAAAUAGAAGUUUCUAUGUUUUUGUUUCAAAUUAAUUUUGAUUAUUUAAAUUAAUUAAAUUUCAUGUGACUCAUUUUGUUUUUAACUAAACUUUUACAUUAAUAAACUCAUUAGAUUUAUUUUGGUAUUAUUAAAAUAUGAAAUACUAAUUAAACCAAUUGUGUUGUUAAAAUUGAGACCGAUAACUAACGUCACAUUGGGCCAGGUGAAGAGGGAGAUCAUUUGUUUUUCAAAAUCAAAUUAAAAGGAGCCAUUGAGACCGAUAACUAACGUGACAUGUGGCAUCCUUAUCCUAUCCUCUAAUUUUGUAAUUUGAAAUUUUAGAUGUUUCAGCCAGUAAAAGAAAGCAAAGCGCACCGAAUCACGUCACAGCUAUAAGGUUUUGUCUUUUCCGUUUCUUCAGUCUCUCUUUUUAUUUUAUCCAAAAUAUUGUGUGACACAUGGAGGAAGGGGGAUCCACGCAGUUAUAUGUGGCUCUCCAUUUUGUUGGAUUCCUUUUCAUUGCACAUGUGACGAUAGCUGGAGUGAAAGGGUCAUACUGGAGUGGUUGAGACCUCGGUAUCACAACCACCAUGACCCAGGUUUGAUCUAUGUGCCCUCACUUCUCUUGUUAUUUUUCAUGUUUUUUCGUUUUUUCCAUCUUUUGCUAUGUAUUUUUAUUAUGUAUUUAUGGUUGCACAUUGUUAUAAGCAAUAAGACCAUGGGGGAAUAGUUGAAGCUCCAUGCCUACCGCCCCCAAGUUUUGGGUUCAAACCCUUGUUGCCACAUUUUCCAUUUUUUUUCCUUUUUCUUCAUUUUUCAACCUUUGUUUUUUUUACUUCUUUUUGCAUUUUUUUUAACCAUCCAAAAUUUUUCUUUAUAUUUUUUGUGACACGUAUUUCUUAUUUAUGACAUUAUAUUUGCAAUUUAAAUUUAUUUUUUCCAUUUAUAUUAUCCUGAUUACGACCAUUGUAAAUAGGUCAUUUUAAUGUUUAAUACAAUGUGAUACUUGCGGAUUUUUAUCCCACUUCCUUUGAAUAUUUUCAUUGCUAAACAUCAGAUUUUAAUUUAUGAAUUCAAUAUUUCCCAUGUUGUUAUUCCACCUAUUAUUUUAUCGAUACAUUGAUUGUAUUUAUCCAUGUUUUUGUUGGUGUAAGCCCUAGAGGCCAAUACUUUUUGGUACUUGUAUCGAAUUAUUUAUUAAUAAUAAAAGACUUUUUCUUUAUUAUGUUUGUUUAAUAAAGUCCCUAGAAUAGAUAGUCCGUUUAAUUGUAUCAAGUGUGACUUAAUCAUGAGAUCACAUUAAACAUAAGGACACUAUUCUUAAAGUAUCUGUAGUCGAGCUUUAUUGUGAAGUGGGAUAACAUUAAAGCAUUAAGACUAUAUGUAUAUAGACUGAUGAUCACAUCUCAUGGAUCAUGGAUAAGGAGUUAUCAAGUCUUAAACAUAGGUAUGAAUAUUAAACGUAAUAUUUAUACUGGAUUGACCCGCUAUGAGAAUACUAUAUAGAAUGUUAUGCAAAGUGUAAUAAGUUAUUCUCAUGGUGAUAAUGGUGUAUACCACCUUCGACCUGAAACCACUAUGGACCCUAGAUGUAGAGUCGAGUGCCUUAUUGCUGAUCAAACAUUGUCCGUAAUCGGAUGACCAUAAGACAGUUAAUGGGUACUCCACGAAGCAUGCUAAGGGACAUGAGUGACCUAGAGGGAAUUUUUCCCAUCCUGCGUAACAGGAUAAAUGUCUAUGGGUCCAAUAUUGAACUGGACAAGGAUGACACGGUCUAUGCCUUGUGUUCAAUAUAGACAUAAGGGCAAAAGGGUAAUUAUACACAUAAGUAUUAUCAUAGAAGGAUUUGUCAGAUCACAUAACAUUUUCGUGUCUUGGGUAGCAGUGAUGUGUUGCUAGAUACCGCUCAUUGUUUAUUAUGUUAAAUGCGUGAUUUAAUAUAAUUGUCAAUGCCGUGAAAACCUACAGGGUCACACACAAAGGACGGAUUGAUGAGAGAUAGAGUAACUAAGAAACAUCGUAAGGUACGGUGCACUUAAGUGAGUUGUAGAACAUCGUAAGGUACGGUGUACUUAAGUAGAAUACGAAAUAUGGUAAGGUACCACGCGCUUAAGUGAUUUUGGCAUAUUAUAAGAUAUGGGCCACAUACACUUAAGUGGGCUUUUUAACUUAUAUCCCACACAAGUGGUUCUAUAAAUAGAACCCUUGUGCAGAAGCAUUUUUGCAAUUGCAAUUUCGUUUCUCUCUCUCUCUCUCUCUCUCUCUCUCUCACUCUCACUCACUCACUCACUCAAAGCCUUCAUUCGUAGCAGCUAGCACUGAGAUUGAAGGAAUCCAUUCGUGUGGAUUGAGUAGAGGCGUUGUCAUCGUUCAACGUUCGUGAUCGCUCCGUAGAUCUGCAUCAAAGGUUAGAAUCGCCACAAGAGGUAACGAUUCUAUCACUGAUCAUGCCCAUUCGUAAGGAUCAUUAAAGGAGAAAUUUUAAAUUCCGCUGUGUUUUGGAUCGCCCUUCUCCUUCAGUUUUAACUUUUUGAAUACAACGUUUCAGUUGUUGUCAAUUUGCACAAACCGACUUUGAGCAUAUUACCUAGGGUUUUGCUUGCACUUCUUAAUUUCCAUUUACAUCGCACGUCCUUGUGUUAUGUGACUUUAAUUCGCAUCCUCGCAUCAUGAUUUUAAUCCAUGCAUGCUUCGUUUUUACUUCUUUUGAUUUAAUUAUUGAACAUGUUGUACAUAUAACUUAUGUGUUGUUGUUUCCUUCACAUGGCUUACUCUUGGGCCUUCUUACAAUGAGACCAUUCUCUUGUGCACUUACACUAAUUUACUUAUGUUUGUUGAUUGGGCUUGAUUUAAUUAUUUCAUUAUCUUGUAUCCUCAUUCGACAAAAAGUACCCUCAUUCCCAUGACGCAUAAUAAAUUUUUACCGCUUUAUUUUUGUAUGCUUGCUUGUUUAGCUAGUUCAAACACAAGAAUAAAAUCAAUCAUUUCUUCAAAAAGAUCAAAAAUAAAAAAUCGAUCCAACGUCGAGUACUUUCUCAAUAACCAAAUCAAUCCAUUUCAAACUCAAUCCAUGUCUCUCCAUUCCAAUCCAUAUUUAUCCUCUUUAUAUUUCAAACUUCCUUUUCACUCAAACUCUUUUUCAAUCAUUCAUCAAAUGUUUAAUCCAACAUCAAGCCAUUUUCUCAAUAAAAUUCAAAAAUAUGUAAUGUCUAUUCAACACUUUUCAAUAAAGAUGGAAACAAAACGCGGUGGAUACCAUGAGCUCCUAAGACUAAGAUUCUAGAUGGACAUCUCGCCCAUCUUAGCUCUCGCUGUCAUUCAAAACUGUCAAUACGGUUUCUUCAAACCCUUUCUCAAUCAAAUCUCAAAACACUUAAAAAUAUCAAACACUUUUGCAAAUAAGAUGGAAACGGAACAUGGUGGAUACCAUGCACUCUUGGGGCUAGUAUUCGAGAUUGAUAUCUCGCCCAUCCAAGUUCUCGCCAUUAUUUAAAACACAUUCAAAUAAAUCAAACUCUUUUCUCGCCGUCGUGCGAUUGAUUCUUAAACCUUUUUCUCAAACGAAAGGUAUUUUGUUUCAAGACGAUGCAAAAAAUGUUUCGUCCACUUGAACAAAUGAGUAAGCUUGCGACAUUUCCCAUAAAUGUUGAUUUGUAAAUCCAUUCGGCAGUGAUGCAAACGUUCCCUUAUCCACUUAUUUUGGGUUGUCCAACAAUGUUUUCAUCGAUUGACCCAAAGUAGCUUUCGUUAAAAUCGACCAACAAAGAAGCAUUUUCUACCCAGAACUACGUAAGCCUUAAGUUCUCUAUUACACCCGUAGGAGCAGAAUUUGUAAAUCUUGUCAGACUCAUUAACAAAAAGGUUAGGUUUAGUCCCUUUCUUCGCACAUUAAUAAAAAAUCCAAAAACAUUUUCUCUUUUAUUUUGAUCAUAUUCUUCUCUCCCUCUUAAUAACUCAAGAAGCCUAACAUUUCUAAGCUAACACUAACGCGCAUAAUUAACCUAACGGUUCUUGUUGAGUACAAUGGACGUGAGGGGUGAUAAUACAUUCCCCUUGGGUAAUCGACUCUCAAACCCUAAUUUUGUUGUGACAACCAAUAUCAUUGUCGUUCUUUCUUAGGUUUUACCGAUAUUUCCUCUUUCCUUUUUAGGAAUAAAUAAAGUUCAAAGUCGACUCUGUUUAGUCAAUCCCACGAGUGUGCGAUUGCGCUUCACUAAGUCAUGUUCUCAUUUUUUGAGGUAUGAUAGUGGACCCUCAACCGCUCUCAUCCACCCAAUAUUUCUUAUCCCCGUCCCUUUUUAACCAAAAACCAAAAAAAAAUUCUCCUCAUUUUUCACACCCUAACCUCUCUCUUACUUCGAAAACUCUUCAUCUUAUCUCUAAAGCCUUUGCCUCCAUAACCAAAACCUCCACUUUCCUUCAAACCCGCAACACAAAAACUAUUUUUUUUUCUUAAAAAAUUUCAAACCUUUACCUCUCCAACAAUCAAAACCUCAACAAACCCACAAUUUUUCUCAAAAAUUUUUACUCAUUGAACAAUGGCACCGAAGAGAGCUAGUGGAAAUCUAGCGGCAACAUCACAGCCAUCCGGAACGUAAAAAAAACAAGUGGCACCUCCAAUGUCACUAAUCCCAACGGGAUAAUUUUCUAGAUCCCAUAACAAAAACAAUGCUAGAAUACCUUGGCUCAUUGUAGGAUUACUCAUAUAAGGUAUGUUCGUGAACCAACUUUAGAAGCUUUAGGUAUAUCUAAUGAUGUUGAAUGGACUUUGGAUCAAAUUGAGCGGAGACACUUCAUGUCUCUUAAAACUCCAAUUUAUGUUAGGGUCACUCUAGAAUUCCUAAGUUCUCAAAGGUAUAUAUGCACACUAAGCUUAGAGAUGAAUACGAAAUGGUCACUGUUAUACUAUUUAAUAAAGUAUUUAUAGUGAUUGUUUCCAAACUAACUAUUGUCUAUCAAAUGCCUGUUGGGGGAGGAUAAAGUGCCUACUAAGUUAAGUUAUUGUCGUUGUGUUUUGACAAUAAAGAUUUUUGGUGUCAAAUAUCAAAGGAGUGUUUUGAUAUUUGUAAAUAUAGUGUUGAGAAUAUUUGUAUAGAAUAGUCUCACAUCGACUAUAUCAUGUAAUUAUCUGUAAUCUCUCUCUAUAUAAUAUAGUCUUAGUAGUGAUUUUCAAAACACACAAUUUUAUUCAAAUUCCUCUCUCUCUCUCUCUCUCUCUAUAUAUAUAUAUAUAUUAUAUAUAUAUAUAUAUAUAUAUAUAAUAUAUAUAUAUAAUAUAUAUAUAUAUAUAUAUAUAUUACUCUCAACAUGGUAUCCAAAGCCUAUUAAGAGGCAAUAUUAAUCAUGAUUUAUUGAUUGAUCGACUGUCUUCCGUGUGAGAAAAAAAUUCGAAAAACUUUGUCCCAACUCUGGUUUCCUUCCACUCAUUACAGUGAAUCACCCCGACAUCUGUUUUUCGUAACCUUUUGGUCACCACGCCUACCGCCACCAUCACCACCA